rnacentral:lncRNA from 1 species
GUAGGAACAGACCAAACAUGUUCAUACGUGGCAUUGCUCAAGUCAUCAUCAUUCGGGACAGAGAAUAAGCCUUCAAAUGUCUGCUGAGUCAAUGAACCUUUCUAGAUAUCUCAAGUGUAAUGGAAAUUGAUGAGUUACAAAGGAUUUGUAAACAUUUUCUACUGGAGGCUAGAAAUGCUUCAAAUAAAUGACUCUGUUGCAAUUAUUUUGUAGGAUCAAAGACUCUGCAAAGAGGUAAGAAAGUCAUCAUCAAGUAACUUCGCUCUUCAUACUUUUUAUUAGGGGUGGGCAUUGGAACCGCAAAACCGCAAAACCGAACCAACCCAAUCCGAAAAAAACCGAAAAAAACCGUGUUGACCGAAAAAGUCAAAAACCGAGACAAAUCCAAACCGAACCGGUUCAGACCGGUUCCGGUUCCGAUUUUCCACCUUAAGGAACCGGUCCAAUCCGAACCGGUCCAAUAUAAUUAAUUUUUAUAUUAUAUUUAUAUUUAUAUUUAAAAUAUCAAAUUUUGUAGGCCCAAACCCAACUAUUUCAUUAUACCAACAAAAAGCCCAAAUCUCCCAAGUCCAUUGCCCAAGUCCAACAAGCCAUAUUUUAAUAUCCUAAUCACAUCAAAUCUCACUUCACUCUCUCUCUCUGACGCACUCUCUCUUUUCCUCUCAGAUUUUUUUUACUCUCUUUUUCUUUCUUUCUUCUCUCUUCCGCCUCUUUUCCUCUAGGUUCUUUAACUUCUUUUUACUUCUUUCUUUCUUCACUCUUCUGCCUCUUUUCCUCAGUUUUUUCUUCUUCUUUCUCUCUUAUUCUUUCUCCUCUCAAUUCGUCUCCAUUUUUUUUCCCUCUCUUUCUCUGAUUUUCUGUUACUCUGAUUUUUUUCUUCUUGGUUUUAUGUUUCUCUCUCUCCCUCUAUAUCUCUUUCUUUGCAACUCUGUUUUUCAAUUUCUCCUUUUUUUUCUCUCUUCAUUUUUUGUUUCUCUGUACAUAUAUGUGUUCAUCUUGUAGAUCUGGGUGAAAUUCUUGUAGAUCUAGGUGAAGUUCUUGGAGAUCUGCGUUAAGUUCUUGUAGAUCUAGGUAAAGAGCCAAUUCAAAGCAGGUCAGCGUCUCUUAUCUCCCCAAUCCCUUGUGAAGAUAUGUAUUUUUUUUGUUGUCAACAAUCCAUUUUGGUGUUUUUAUAUGGUAUUGAUAUUUUCUAUGAUUUUGGGCUGAUUUGAGGUCUGAUUCUUUUUUUUUCUUUCAAUUUUUUCCUGUUGUGUUUUGAUAGACAUGUUCUCUAUUCCUGAUAUCAUUCCUCAGUGGCAAAAUCUUUGAGCGUUGUUGUAAAUUUUAGACGGGAAAGAAGCUCAUUCAUAAUUCAAAAAAAGAAAAUAAAGUUACAACAACUGACAAUUUGUUGCUCUUUGAAAUAGGUACUGAAGUAGCAUGGAUAAAAAGAAAGACUGAAGAUGUUGCAGAAGAUUGAAUAUGUUCUAUUUCUGUAAUUUGUUUGUAAUUAAAUUUGUUUAUUUUGUUUUGUUUUUAGGUUGUAAGUUUUAUUUUAAUGUUUGAUAUUUGUUGUUUUGUCAAAAAAUUGUAUUAAUGCUUGAUGGAUUCAUUCAAUUUGCAGUGCGUGGAUGUGAAUUGGGCCAAUCGGUAAUAAUUAGGCCCAAAAGGUUUUAAAUAUCAAUUGGGCUGAAACUUACAAAAAAAUUUAAGAACAAAAAAAAAAUCAAUUAAGCUGUGUGUCGGCCCAAACCGUAAAAACCGGAACCGAACCGGAUUCAAAUGGGUUCGGGUUGGUCCGGUUUUCUCAAGCAUUUUAGUAAAAAUCCGAACCGGACCGGACCGGUGAACAGUACCGGUUCCGGUUUUAAAUUGAUGCAAAAACCGGUCCAAACCGGACCGUGCCCACCCCUAUUUUUUAUUUUUAUUUUUAAAUAUCAGUAAUAACUGGGAAAGCUUGCAUCUCCUUAAAUUGCUCAUUCUUACAUCUUUUAUAGUUUGUUGAUCUUGGGCAAGUGGAGAGAGAGGCGUCAAGUGAUACGCAACAACCAUUUUCUGUGAGCUGAUUUGAUAAAGAGAAAUGGUAUGCUUUCUUGUCUUAAGCGGUGUGUUCUGCAAUUAUUUGAAACAAAGGAUGCCGCACUUCAAGUUCGAGAAAAUCAGGUAUUUUAGUAUUUUAUUCUUGAGAAAUUUGAUUUAUGUAGAAACUUGAACAUGUAAAUGAGAGAAAAAAAAAUAAAUAUAUAUAUAUAUUAUAUAUUGUAUAUGCUGUUAAUGAGUUAAUAUGGUGCUUGCUCCUAGUUGGAAAUUUAUGUAGUCAUCUACCUAUGAUCAAAUAAAGAUGAAAAAUAAAAUAAAAUUGAGAGCAUCUUCCUCUCCCCUGCUUUGCUCAUCCCUUGUUCUUCCACUUCAGCCCCACUAUUACACCAUUUUUUUCAGCCACAAUUAUAAUAGCUCCAUGAGCAUUAAGUCCCUUUCAAAUUCUGCUGACAUUCAAAAUUGGAAUCUGCUGGUGAUAUAUGAUAGCGUUAACAUAUUGUACCAUUUUGGCCAGUGUACGCAAUAUUAUUGCAUCCAACUUUGCAUAUUAACAUCAGUGGCCACAGUUACACGAUUUGAGUGCACAGAAAGGUUUCAAAAGUUGUCCCACAGAGAACAGUCGUUCAAAGUGAGAGAGUUUUGAAAGCUUAAUUACAAGUUCAUGUUGUUUACAACCUCAAAAAGCUUUCAUACUUGCUUACAAACCUGUAUUUCCAAGUUCUGCAAACCUUGGAAUAUCACUUCAUCCAAAUCCCCUUCCAAAGCAGGAAAAAAUGGCAGCAGCUUUGAUUGGAGAGGCUCUCAUCUCUGCUUCUAUCGAGGUGUUGUGUGACAGAGUUACUUCAGCCGAGUUCAUAGACUUAUUUCAGCAGAAGAAACUUGAUGAAACACUCCUCAUGAACCUGAAGACGACACUGUUGAUUUUGUUUGCGGCGCUCAAUGAUGCAGAGGAGAAGCAAAUUGUGAACCCUGCUGUGAUAGAGUGGCUUAACAGCUCAAGCAUGCUGUCUUUGAUGCAGAGGACUUACUUGAUGAGAUUGACACUGAAGCUUUGCGAUGCAAGCUGGAAGGUGAGGAUCAAACCCACAAUAAUUAACCAACAAGGAUCUUUUUGAUUGUUUGAAAGGAGGGUCUUUGAUGAUUUGAAAGGAGAGGGUUGCUUCAUUUCUGUUGGAUGCUUAAUUAAAUCUUAUCUGGACUUGAACAAGGAUUAGGUUAGCUGUAUAAUUCGUGGUAAACACCUUUUUCUAAGGUUCAUUUAGACUCCUAUUACGAUUAAUUUGUUGUUUCUAAUUUGGACUUGUAGGAACAGACCAAAUAUGUUCACACGUGGCAUCGUUCAAGUCAUCAUCAUUUCAGACAAAAUCAGCCUUCAAGUGUCUGCUGACUCAAUGAACCUUUCUAGAUAUAUCAAGUGCAAUGGAAAUUCAAGAGUUACAUAGAGAUUUGUAAACAUUUUGAAGAUUGCAACACCUGCAAGUGAGAUAGGUGGUGACGAAAUCAGAGCUGAUCUUGAAGCCUCUGAUGCCCCUGUCGUUGCAAGUUGCACCUGAGAACAUGGUUUUUUUUUGGGUAAAAAACCAGCAACAUGUUCGGGGCUGGCAAUUCAAUCCCUGAUGAACUUGAGAAGCAAAGCUCCAGUAAGGAAAUUGGUCGAGGUCACGACAGGGAUAAUUGAUGGUGAAAUGGAUGCUAUUUCUUAUUGCAGCCUGUUCUCAAAGUUCUUGUUGGCAAAAGCAAGAGAUGGAGUAUUUUGAUUGGGAGGAGAGAUAAUGACAUGUGUUGACAAUUCUAGAACAGCCCAUCUGAGUUCUUUUGUCAGGCUGCAUCAUUUAAUCCCAGCAAAAAUCCAGUUUUUGCUAAACAAUCAAAUUGUACACAUUUUUUCUUUUCGAGGAAUUUAACAUUACACAUUUUUUCAUUUUUUCAUCAAACAGUUUUCUAAUGCAUUUGUUGUCCCAAGUUACAAUGAGGAAUUUGGAUUGAGUUUCUUGUGUUAAUAACAUUAUACUUUCAUGGAAUGGUUUAUCUUCUUUUUCUGGACAAAAAUAUUUAGAUUAAUUUCUUGGAAUAAUUUUUUAAUAAUUUUUUAAUUGCAGUAGCGAAAAAAGGAAAAUUGUAUUUUUCAAAACCAAUCUUAAGUCCAGUUUCCUCUUCUUGGUCGUCACACUUGGAAAUUGCUAACCAUAUAUAACUUGGGGUAACAAUCUUAGUCCGAAUGUGUACGAUCUUAGUCCGAUCAAUGGCUACGCGUAUUGGCUCGGCCUUGGGGUCUACCAUUCCAGUGUACAAGCUUCCUGGGUCUUGGGGCAAUUCCUUCAAAUUGUACACAUGUUUUCUUUGAGAAGCAAGGCUCUAGUAAGGAAAUUGGUUAUGUAACAAAUUUUGGUCCCUUUGGAUGGAAUGAUUUACAAUGAGGAAUUUUAUUAUUAUUAUUUUGUUUUUGUUGUUAGUGUAAUGAAAAUGAUCUAGGUUCAUACACUGGGUAUAGCUCUAAUUUGGCCAAUUUCAUUAUUUUAGUUUCUUCAUAUUUUCAAUUAUUAUAAUUUGGUGCGUUGUUUUUUAAAAACAUUCAUGAGAAUCUCCAUUUUUUAGGUGUUUAAGUUAUUCAUCCACAACGGUUUUAUAAUACCGUCAUCUUUUCAAACACAACGAUGAUUUUUUAAUCUAUCGUCGUUGUUUUCUGAUCGUCUUUUUCACUUUUUGUAGUAGUGUCAAUAAGUAAGAUGAAAUAAUACAUUCACAAUCUGUUUAAAUUUUAAAUUAAAAAAAACACAAGAAAAUUUUAAAUAAGUAAGUAAUUUUAAAUAUAUAUUUCCAUUGUUUUGGUUUUCUUUUCAUAUUAGUUUUCUACUAGCUGCUAAUUUCAUUUAAAUUGUUUUUCUUACUUCAUUUAACUUUUAAGCAUGCAGAUGCAAUCAUGACUUCUUCUUUUUUUCAAUAGACUGAUUCUCUUCCCACAUAUAUAAUGCUCUCUAAGUAUUCGUAAUAUGAGUAGGAAUUUAUUUUCAUUUCACAAGAAUUGUCCAUCAAAUUCUGAUAGGUUUGUCGAUAGCACAAGCAUGCACAUAUAGACACUACAAGAACUUUGUUUCUUCAUUUUGUUUCCUAAAGAUUUGUUGGCUUCGUGCAGAUGAAUAACAAGUCUCUCUGUCCUCUAUUUCUUCUUUUUCUUUUUUAACAAUUCAUAUUCUACUUUCUGUUUUCACCCAGUAAAAAUUGAUUUUAGACAUGGGCUUCUAAAUUAUGUGCGGAUAAUGGUUGCAUUUAUAGAAUAUCCAUGGGCUUCUAGUCACCGUGGUUGUUGAUUCAGCAUGUCAUAUUACUCUUGGACUAGCUGUUGACACUACUACAUUUUACACUUUGCGCGACGAAGAACAAAACGUCGCGCAAAGUCGCAUUUAGUCGCCCCAAUUUCAGCGCGACAAAAACGUCGUCGCGCAUAUUCCGUCGCGCGAAGAUCGUGAAGAAAGCCUUUGCACGACGAGGUACAACCCUUCGUCGCGCAAAAGUGUGCGACGGGUAAACCAUCGUUGCACCAACGGUGUGGAGACGAAACAACCCUUCGUCGCAAAAAUAUUUGCGCGACGAUAAAUUAUGCGGCGCACGUAUAUUUGCGAGACGACGGGAAUUGCGCGACAAAACAUUAUUCGUCGCGCAAAAUAUGUAUGGGAGACGUAUAUGUUCGUCGCAGAACAAUUCGCGCGAUGAGAAAGUUUUCGUCGCACAUAUAAUUGCGCGACGAAAAAUUAUGUCGUCGGCCAAAUAUUUUGCGCGACGAAACAUUUCGUCGCGCAAAACGUGUUAUGUGUUCGUCGCGCAUGAAUUAAAAGUGAUAAAAAAAUAUUUGAUUUUUUUUUGUUACAUGUUGGUUUGCGCGACGAAAGAUUUUCCGUCGCGCAAAAAUAAUAUUACAAUUUUUUUUUUAUUUAUAUUUUUUAUUUGAUAUAAAAUUGGUUUCUUUUUAUUGAUUAAACAAUGAAAUUGCAAUAAAAAUAAAUUAGAAUAAAAUUUUGUUAUAAAAUAAAAUAAAAUAAAUGUAUUACAAAUAAAAUAAAUACACUAAUCAAAUAAUGAAUCAAAAUCAACCGAGUCGUCGCCAGUAUGCGGCUCGGAGGGCGGGGCGUUCACCGGGGCAGUGGUCUGGUGGGGAUGCCCGGGAUGGACGGGCUCAGAGGUCGGCGCAUCAAAAUGCGGGACUGGAAUGCCGGACUGUGCGAGGGACUGCAGAAUGACCGACAUCUGGCUCUGAAGAGUGGCCACCUGUGCUGUCAAAGCAGUGACCUGACUGUUUGACUGCGCCGAUGAACGAGGUCGAGGUUCCCUCCGCCGGGCAUUCCCCAUCCCUCGACAAUAUGUCCCCGGCCUCCUCCCGAGAGUCUGAUCCAACGUCUCCGUCAAUAUCUGAAAUCCAGCAUCCUGUGGAGGAGCCACAGACUCGAUCGGAGUCUCGGGAGGAAGCUGGGAGGCGGACUCCUGAAGAACAAGCUGGCUCCUCUCCACCAUCGUCGUCUGUUGAACAUAACAUAAAAUAUAAAUUAAAACAUGCAUAUAAAUUGAAUGCGUAACAUAAGAAUUAAAAUUAAAUAAUACUUACAUGAAGGGACUCGGCCAACUCAUUCCCGGGUCGAACAUAAACGUCACCAAAGACGUCGAUCUCUGGGAACUUGGACCCCUCCUAAAUUGAACAAGAGAAGAAAAAUAUUAGUAUGAAAAAAAUAAAUUAAUAAAAAUGACAUUAAAAAUGAAAUAAAAAUUUUGUGAUUAUUACCCGACGCCGUGCAUCCAUCCUAUAAGAAAAGGGUCUGGAGCCGGAAUGGUGGAGAAGGGUCUUCUUCUUCCUAUUACCCUUAUUCACUUGGGCUUUAUUCUGUUAUACAAAAAAUGAAACGUAUUAGUUAAAAUAUAAAAAAUUAAAUAAUAAUGAAAUAAAAAAAUAAAAUAAACAUUAAUAAGUAAUAAGUAAUAAUUAAACAAAUAUAAUUAAAAAAAUACCGCAAAUUCGGGCGCUUGAAAAUGAGCGCAGAGCCACUCCCAACUAUCCUCCCGCCCCUCAAGCUCCUUCGGGCAACCCUCCUGAAGAGCGACUUGCGGAUCAUCAUAGGCCUGAAAAUGGUGGUGCAAGUCGCUCUUCCACUGCUUGUACCUCUCAGCGAAGAGUCGGUUGACGUACGUCAACGACUCUUCGUCGAGAUCCUCCAAGUUAUAGUUCGUCUGCAAUCAAUUAAUUAGAUACGUUAAGUAAUAGAAAUAUACACAAUUUUAAAGAAAAAUAAUGAAAAUGUAAGGUACAUACCGACAACUGGCCGUGAAUCUCCGCCUGGAUCUCGUCAGGCAUGACCCUCCAAGACUUCCAUUGCAUCGGGCAAUGGGUCCGCACGACGUGGCCAAUGUCGUGGGCCAAGGAGCUAUGCAACUUCGCCGUCGGUGCAGCACGAUGGCGCUCGUCGUAUCCGAUGCUGAUACGACUGUUGGUCACCCGGGUGACCUUCGCCGUCUUCAGCUGACGACACGGUCCUCGGGUGUUCCUCUUCGCUGCAAAGAAAUAAGGUAUUAAUGUUAAAUAAAAAAACAUUGUCAAAUUUCAAUAUAAAAUUAACAAUACAAAAGUGUAGUUAUACCUGGCUGUGAUCCCGAGGCACCAGUACCGUCGGUCGAUGUCGUGUCGAUGGUGUCGGUGGGCCGGUGCCGCCGCCUAGCACUAGCUGGUUGCGCCACGGAUGACGCAGAUGACACAGGCGCCUGGGGCGCCCCGGGACCAACCACCACGUGGUCCAACAAAGCAGGAGCAGUGGCAGCAGAUGCCGACUGAGCCAGGGGAUCCGAACUCGGUGCAGUCGUCAUCGACCUACCACGUCUAAUCAAGUCUGACAUCUGCACAUAUAAUUUCAUUCAGAAUGUAAACUAAUUAAUUAAAAGCAUAGCCUGACCUAGGGUUUGGAAUUUCGGAGUAUCCGGGACUCCGAUCAACGAUCGGUCGAAUCCUAAACGAUCCUAGAAACACAAAGGUACAACUACGCGAGUUUCAGUUCGAUCCAACGGUCCGAACAUAUCAAACCUGGAAAUCGCACAAUAGGCGAAAUUCGAUCAAGACUCAAACGGUAACCAAAUUCAAAUCCGAGCAAACCUACGCGCUCGUGACAAACAGGGGAUCGCUCUGGGACACAAUGCCCCACUGCCACAGCAUCCCACGCGCCGGCAGCGCGUGGGUGUCCAAAGCGAUAACAUUCGCCGGAAAAUUCUAAAAACUAACGGCCAAGGUUCCUACCCUAGGUUGAAAACAAUAUUUGGCGCCACUUUUGUUCUCGGACCUACCCCGAAAAAUGGCCGGAAGUGGCCGGAUUUGAAAUUGCCAAACCGGCCAAAACCUAGGGUUUUAAUUCCUAUUUCCUAUACCCAUCAGCUAGAGCACAAAAAAUAGUCGAGAAAUCAUACCUCAGGCGUCGGAAAUGGUGGCCGGAGGAGAGAGAAAACGGCCGGCGAGGAAUCGGUGAAAAACCGACGAUGUGCGACGGCAGGCUCGACGGCGAAGGCAGGGGAGGCUAUGGCAGGAGCGGCGGUGGCUGAGGUGACGGCGGAGAGAGAGGGCUGAGGUGACGGCGGAGAGAGAGGCAAACGGAGGAAAAAACCAGAAAUGGGGAAGAAGGAGGCAUCGCGACGUUUCUGCAAAUUUUUACGACUUUGCGCGACGAAUCACAUCAUUCGUCGCGCAAAAUGCUAUUAAUGAAUCUUGCGCGACGCUAUAUCCGUCGCGCAAGAUCUGUCAGAACGCCAAAUUCUGAAAGUGGAUUAGGGUCUGUAAGUUUUGCGCGACGAAAUAGACAUACUUCGUCGCGCAAAAGGCUGUCUUUCCGCCAAAAUUUUGGGAUUUAGGGUUUAGCGGGAGGCUGAAACUGAAGGGUUUGCGCUUUUGCGCGACGAAGACGGUAAACGUCGCGCAAUGGUAACCUUGCGCGACGGAACGUAUUAUAUUCGUCGCGCAAAAGGCUAUCUUUCCGCCCAAAUUUUGGGAUUCAGGGUUUAGCGGGAGGCUGAAGGGUUUGCGCUUUUGCGCGACGAAGACACUAAACGUCGCACAAAAGGCUGUCUGCUGAAAUGAAUGGUUUCUGCUUUUGCGCGACGAAGACAAUAAACGUCGCGCAAAACGUUGUCGUUCCGCCAACAAUUUGGGGUUUAGGGUUUAGUGUGAAAACUGGCGCCCAGAUUGCGCGACGAAGAGUACAUAUUUCCUUCGCGCAAUCUAUUUCACUUUCACUUUGCGCGACGGAUAUGUUGGUUCGUCGCGCAAUCUUCAAGAUUUUCAUUGAAAUUUUCACUAAGUGUUCAAAGGGGAUGGAGGUGUGAAAACUGGCGCCCAGAUUGCGCGACGAAGAGUACAUAUUUCCGUCGCACAAUCUAAUUCACUUUCACUUUGCGCGACGGUUAAAUUGUUCGUCGCGCAAAAUGUAGACCCUAAACCCCCUUGUAAACCCUAAACCCUGAACCCUAAGCCAUAAACCCUAAACCCUAAAAUAGUUUCAAUGAUCCAACCGGCAAACUUAUUGUUUGAAACUUGGAGAUCAUAUACGCCAAAAAUCAAGAAGACCAAACAUUCAGAUAUCAGGGAACGGGACUAAAUAUUUCGACGGUUAUAAAUGAAAAGUCAUGAUUUAACGGUUAUUGUAACUCCGAUUUUGAUCAAUUUUGACAGCAGCAUUUGUUGACCCUAUAUGAAUACAAUGACUGAAUUUGAUCUUCAAUUUCAGAUUUUUACACUAGGGGAUACCACAUAAACGUGAAGUUACAUUUGCACAAAUGUAUAAACAAAUUUUAGGGUUUUUGGUGAAUAUAUGAUUUUGAUAGCACAUGCAGUCUACGAAACAAGUUUCAGUCAUCCAGCCGUCAAACUUGUUUUUUUAGACUUCGAGAUCAUAGACAGCAAAAAUCGGACAAAAAAAACAUUCAGAGAUUAAGCAACGGGGUAAAACUUUUCGACGGUUCUAAAUAAAAAGUGAUGAUUGAACGGUUAAUUUAACUCCGAUGUUGAUGAUUUUUUGCAGCUACAGUCCUACACUCCAUAUGAAUACAAUGAACUACUUCGAUCGCCAAUUUUAAAUAUAUAUGUGUGUAUAUAUUAUACUAUAACGUUACCUAAUAUAUAUUUGCGCGACGAAAGUUUGCUUAUCGUCGCGCAAAAAUGCCAUACGCGACGCAUGUAUAUAUGCGUCGCGGAAACUAUGCGCGACCAGUUGUAUUCGUUGCGCAAACAUUACGCGACGCUUAUGUAUGCGUCGCGUAUGGUAUGUUUGCGCGACGAUAUGGAGCCCUUCGUCGCGCAUGGAUUUGGCGCCAUAAAUCCUCAUUGAUUUCAAAUUGUGUAUGCUUUGUAUUUUUUAGAAAGGUUUUGUAUUCAUCAUUUUUUAUGCUUUGUAUUUUGUGGAAAGGCUUUGAAAUAUUCAUUUCUUUUGUUAUUUUUAUUGAAGCUUUAACUUGUUCUGUUCCGCAGAAAAUUCCAAUGAAGUUUGUGAUGAAAUAUGGAGAAUGAAUACACAACUACAUAUGGACAACUACACAUAUUCAAAGAUUUGUAUUACACAAAAUUAAUACACUAACAUAAUAAAUUUACAAAUAAAUUCAUUAUUCAUCAUCUGAACUAUAAUAACUUUCGUUAUCGUCGCUAGCUUUAACUUGUUCUGUUCCGCAGAAAAUUCCAAUGAAGUUUGUGAUGAAAUCUGGAGAAUGAAUACACAACUACAUAUAGACAACUACACAUAUUCAAAGAUUUGUAUUACACAAAAUUAAUACACUACAUAAUAAAUUACAAAUAAAUUCAUUAUUCAUCAUCUGAACUAUAAUAACUUUCGUAUCGUCGCUAUCAUCACUCUCGGUCUCCCAAUCUUCUUCCUCCUCCUCCUCUAUAACUGCAUCAUCGGCGUUGCUAGGGCCCACUGCAACAUCGUAUCGGGGAAGAUCACCGAGGUCAAUUGUAAUUGACUGAAUCGGUAUUUCGACUGAAGACACUCCUUCUAUUUGAAACGGUUCUUGUAUAACAUUUGUAUCUCGAAGUGUUUCCGCAUCAUUUUCCAUUGAAGAUUCUAAACGAUGGUCAGCCACAUUGUCGACGUCGUUGUCACUUGGGUCUAGUUCUGGUAUAUUAUACACGUUCCUAUGAUCCAUCUUCUGCACAACUUUCCACCCGUUCCCGGCUUUAGGGUCAUCUAGAUACACAAUUUGGGACGCCAUGUUUGCCAAAAUGUACGGGUCGUCAUCAUACCAAGUUCUGUUAAUAUUCACAGACAGUACUCCAUGGUCGAUUUUAACACUUCCCGCCCUAUUUGGGUUGGUAUCGAACCAUCGACACUUAAACAUGAUGACUUGGUAUCGAUCUUUGUAAAGCAAUUGCACGACAGUUGUCAGUUUGCCAUAGAAAUCAAUGUCUGUACUUUCGCCUCCACCUGGGACAUGAACACCGCUAUUUUGCGUACACAACUUGUCAUCUCGUGCGGCCCCUAAAAAUUUGACGCCGUUAACAUUACAACCCGAGAACAAUUCAGCGCGAAUUGGGCCGAACGCCAAGUUAUAUAACUCAUCACUGUAAGUGGGGGAAUUCGAUGAUUUCAAUUUAUUCACCUAAUAGUAUACAAAACCAUUUACAUGUUAGUCUGACAAAAUUAAAUACUAAAAUUUAUAUUUGUCAAUUACAAAACACUUAUAACUUACAGAAUCCAAAAACCAUUGUGGAAAUAAUUCACGGUGUUUCCGGGCAACCAAAUGUGAUGGAUGUUCUCGCUUCAUCAUCUGUUCAUGCUCAUCUAAGUAGGCCAUUAUCUCAUCACAAUUGUUCAGUACGAACCAAUGCGCUACCUCCAUGUCAUUUCUAGAAAACGACUCUCCUCGUCCAGGAUCUCCAAAUGGUCGUGCGCUUUGGGCAAAAACAGAAAGUUUUUCAUUUCUCAUACCUCCGUCAUUAUUGCGGUGAGGACGAUUGAAAACCGUCUCCACAUCUUUUAAAUACAUUCCACAGAAAGUAAGCGACUCAUAUUGAACCCAAGCCUCUAUAAUUGAUCCUUCGGGCUUUGCCCUGUUGCGUACACUUUUUUUCAGCUCUCCGAGAAGCCUGCCAAAAUAAAACGAUAUGAUACAAAUUAGCAAAGUGUCGAUAAUGAUGCAUACACAAAUGAUAAAGAUUAUAUACCUUUCUAUUGGAUACAUCCAGCGAUAGUUGACAGGACCAGCAAGCAAUGCCUCUUCUGGCAAGUGAACCAUCACGUGCAUCAUACUUAUAAAGAAAGCUGGAGGAAAUAUCAUCUCAAACUUGCAUAGGACUUGGACAAUGUCAUGGCGCAACUGAAACAUGUCUGUCCUUCGCAAUGUUUUUGCCGUCAGUUGGGAAAAAAAUCUGGAUAACAACAUGAUUGGCUUCACCACAUCUUCCGGCAGUAAGUGUCGAAUACCCACAGGAAGUAGGCGUUGCAUGAACACAUGGCAGUCAUGGCUCUUAAGUCCAGUAAAUUUACCCCCAUCGACAUUCACGCAACGUGCGAUAUUAGAAGCAUACCCAUCGGGAAAUUUGACAGACGAUACAAACUUUAGAAACUCCUUUUUGUCAUUCGGUUUCAUAGAAAAGAAUGCAAGAUCCCUUCUAGCUUUAUCACUGUCCCUAUUCAUCCAUAAACCCCUUCGUAUGCCCAUUCUUUCCAAAUCAAGACGAGCUUUGAUCGUGUCCUUCGUCUUCCCCUCGAUAUCUAGAAUCGUGCCCACCAAUGUGUCGAAAACAUUUUUCUCAACAUGCAUCACAUCUAGAUUGUGCCUCAAUUUCAGUUUCGACCAAUAUGGGCGCUCAAAAAACAUAGACUUGUGCGUCCAGUUCAAAUGUGUAGAAGGUCGGGUCCGACUAACUGUUUUCCCGAACGGAGCAAAAUCCAAACGGUUCAGCUGUUCCAAGAUCUCAUCACCGGACCAUUCUCUAGGUCUGAGGCGACGCUCUGUGUUCCCGUCGAACUCUUUAUCUUUUUCUCGCCACUCGUGGUCCCAUGGCAACCAUCUCCGAUGACCAAGGUAACAAACUUUUCCCGCGUGCCAACCAGAAGUUACAUCUUCCUUGCAUACAGGACAUGCCAUAUAACCCUUUGUGCUCCACCCAGAAACCAUUGCAUAUGCUGGAAAAUCAUUCACAGUCCACAUAACUGCUGCUCGCAAAGUGAACAUCCUCCCAGUUGAUUUAUCGUACGUGCGAACACCGUUUGUCCAUAAAUCCUUCAGCUCAUCAACCAGAGGCCUUAAGUACACAUCAAUUGACCUGCCAGGAUCCUCAGUUAUCAAAACAGUCAUCAUCAUGUAUUCUUUUUUCAUGCAUUUCCAAGGCGGCAAAUUAUAUGGGAAUGCGAAAAUCGGCCAAGUGCUGUGGUGUUGGUUUAGAACCCCAUACGGAUUGAAUCCGUCAGUGGCAAGUCCCAAUCUAACAUUUCGGGGAUCAGCAGCAAAUUCGGGGAACGUUCGAUCGAACUCUUUCCAUGCCUCCCCAUCUGCAGGAUGCCGCAUCACAUCAUCGUCUACCCGUUUUUCCUUAUGCCAUCUCAUGUCUGUGGCAGUAUGCGUUGACAUAUACAAUCGCUGCAACCUAGGUUUAAGGGGCAGAUAACGCAUGACUUUUUGUGGUAUCUUAGUCGUUCUAUUCUGGGAUGUCAGUUUGAACCUCGACUCAUUGCAUAUAGGGCAUGUAUCCAACGUUUCAUGCUCUUUGUAGAAUAACAUGCAAUUGUUUUUGCAAGCGUGGAUUUUUUCAUAACCCAAUCCAAGACCGUGCAACACCUUCUGUGCAUGUUUAUGGUCUUUCGGCAAACAAUUGUCCGUCGGAAGCAUUCUCUUGAAAACCCCCAAAAAGUAAUCAAAACACAAGUUCGACAUACGAUACUUUAUUUUUCCGUGCAUUAGCUCCACAAUGGCAGUGAGAACGGAAAACCUCUCGCACCCCGGGUAUAACUCUUGGUUGGCAUUUUUUAACAGUUUUUCAUACUGUUCAAACUCCGCACUGUCUAUUGGUGUAGGCACGUCAUCUUCCCCUUCCUGAUUGAUGUUGGUCGAUGCGAAUGGAAAAGCAUCCUGUAUAAUACCCAUGACUUGAUCAUUAGGAUCCACAAUAGGUUCAACAUUGUCCACUCUCGGGGCAUUUGAAGACGAAGCAUGGUCUACUUGUUCGCCGUGAAGGUUCCAAAUGCUAUAUGUUUCAAUCAUUCCAUUCCUUACUAAAUGAAAUCCAACAUUUUCAAUUGUCUCCCACAACGUGUUGUUACACCUCCUACAAGGACAACGGAUUCUAGUUGCACCCGGGUUGUGUCUACGUGCAAACUCAAUAAAAUCCUCGAUUCCAUCCAAGUAUUCGUCUGCGCAUCUAUUCGGGUUCUGUAUCCACCUUCUGCUCAUAAUUCCUGAAACCACAAUCACGACACAACAAUCACAACAACUUCAUACGAAGUUAUAAUGUCACCUUAUGCCUCCGGUAAGGGCCCUAUCCCAUUCGGGAAUGCAUAGUCCUGUCACGUAACCUACGGCUACAUGAGAUUAGAUUUCGACGUGGAUUAAUUUCAGCAGCAUCUCGACACAGUUCUUGAAGUGGGCAUAGGUAUAAAUACCUACGUACCACCCGAAGAACGUACCGAGAUGACACCGAAAUCUCCACAAUCGAAACCUAAUCCUGUAGCCGAAGAUUAUGUGACAACACUAUGCAUUACCAAACUGUCCAAAUAAUGGGACAAUUCAAGAAUUAAUUGGACCGCAGUCAUGCAUUACGCAUCCAUGCACGAAAUUCAACUAAUCUCGAACGGGAAACUACGUGUUACUAAACAUAAAAAUAAAAGUACGAAGUUAAUUUCAAUUAACUUCGUACAUCACAACACAUUGUGCUAUGUCACGCACAAUUUCACAACAUUAUACACAUAUAACUUCACAAAAAAAUUACAAACAUAACAAACAAACUUUUACAAUAACAUACCUUCUCAAUCGUUCUCCACCAAUCACAAAUAUCCCUAACGAUAACAAAAUUAAUAGCGUUACUACGAAUUUACAUUAAUACAUUUAAACUAACGACAAAAAAUACAUACCCAAUGAACGUACUGAAUUCACAGUAGAGCAACGGCAGAGAGAGUGAGAGAGAGGUAGAAUGCAGUGGGAGAGUGAGAGAGAGGCAGAAUGCAGAAACUGCAUUCUGCCUCUGCAAUGGAACUGGCUAAAAUGAAGAAGAAGGACUUUGCGCGACUAACAAUCCAAUCCGUCGCGCAAAAUGCCGUCGCGAAAACCCACUUUUCCGUCGCACAAAAAAACAUUUCCGUCGCGCAAUUACCUGCCGACAUCAGGUUUUUUGCGCGACGAAUACAAUUAUCCGUCGCACAAACAUCCGUCGCGCAAAUAACAUUAUUCGUCGCGCAAGGUUUAUAUUACGUCGCGCAAAUAACACUUAUUUCGUCGCGCAAGAAAUUACACUUUACGCGACGAAGGUAAUUCCGUCGCGCAAAAAAGUUUUUUCCACCCUGCAUUUUGCCGCCAAAAUUAAGUAACCCUCGUUUUCUUACGCGACGGUACAUAUUUCCGUCGCGCUAAGGCGUCUUUUGCGACGAAAAUGUUCGUCGCGCAAGAUUCUGGCGCCAAAAACAUAAACUGGGGAUUUUUCCCCGACCUUUGCUCGACGAAAUUAGUUUUGGUCGCGCAUAGAUUGUUUGCGCAACGAAGAUUGUUCGUCGCGCUAGUGUUCUGCUGUUUGCGCUACGGUAUUUUUUUUUCGUCGCAAUAGUGAUUUUUGCGCGACGAAAAUAUAUUCGUCGCGCAAACGUCCGUCGCGCAAAUAGUAAAUCGUAGUAGUGUGAUUUGGUUUAGACUUGGUUUAAUUAUCAUUGUUGUGGUUGGUUCACCAAAAAGAUUUGGCUUAGAAUUACCAGUUUUGUUGUUGGUUUAGUUAUGCUUGGCAUUUGAGGAUCCUAUGCUUACUUGUAUGGGUAAUACAUUUUAUUGAUCGUUUCAUAUACUAAUUAUGAACUUUUAGUUCCAUUGUGCAUUUAAGAGUACACAUAUUUCAUAUGUAAUUCGAAAGUUUGUCGCUGAAAUUUCUGAGAAUUUGAAACUAGAUAAGCACACCUUGCACAAAGUUCAUAUAUUUUCUUCCAGCAAGUCUGUCUAUUAACCCCCCUUAUCUGAAAUUAAUUGUUAAAAGUUCUGAUUCAUCUUUAAUCAUUGUCUUACCCUUGUUGAAUAACACUCCUCAUUCUAAUUUAUAUUCGAAGUUUGAGGUUUCAAUUUCAAUUGUGGGCUUUGAUUUUACAGAUUUUGUUUGUCAAUUUCAAUUUGGACAAAGCAUAUGCAAACAAAGUAAGGCAUUAUCUAUUAUUUGGAUCAUUUCCAUAUGUUUAUAUGUUUUUAAUAUCAUUUGCCUAUGUAGUUGACAUGUUAUAACAUUUUCGUAGUGUUGAAUAUAUAUAUAUAAUAAUUUUAUUUUAGUGGAUGUGAGAUCUCAGUUUGUUGCUUUAUAUAAUUAUUUCUUUGCAAUUUAAUUUUUUUUAUCAGUCAUACUAUUGUUGACGGCUAAAAACCAUCAAGAAACAACUCUUAAGUUUUUUAAAAAAUAAAUAAAUAAAUAAAGAUUUGUUGAUGCUUAAAAAGCAUCAAGAAAAGAUAGUUUCUUGACGGUUUUGUGACGUUUCAUAACCGUCAUGAAACAUUACAUUUUGACGAACGUCUUUCUGAUAGUGGCAUCCGUGACGCUUUCCGAGCCAUCAAUUAAGGGCUAUCGUGAUGCUUUUUAGUUGUCAGCAAAAGGUGUUUUUCUUGUACUGUAUUCACUCAAAAUCGUUUUUCAUUUAGGGUUGCUAGUGUGGUUGAAUGCCAUUUGUUUUGUUAAUGAAUAUUAUACAUUAUGGAUUUUUGUAGAAAUGUCGCUUGAAAUUAUACCUCAGUUUCAAUUUGUCACCUUAAAGAAAAAUUUAAGAGAAAUGUCACCUUAAUUUUUCAAAAUCCACGAUUUGUCAUCUCACUUUAACAUCAUCCAAUUUUCCAUCUAUUUUAAGGGUAUUUUAGUCUUUUCAUUUUCAAGGGAAAAAAAGAGAGGAAGAAAAAGACCUCUCUCUUACUUUCUCCCCCAACCCAACCCCACCCGCCCCCCAAAACACAUCGCAUAGGACCGCCUCCCCCUUCCCCACAUUUCUUUUUUCUUUUUGGCCUACUUUUCCACUAUGUUUAUGUUGAAGGAUCUAAAGUUUUCUUGGUCACCAUCUAUUACGUAGGCUACCGACUUGUUGGUUUGGGUGGGUUGAGGGAAUUUGUGUGUGGAGGGCAGGUGUUCAUGUUGUGUGCACCAAGACCUUAUCGUUGAUGAACUAUGUGACGGCACACACACAAACUCGUUGAGAAUAAAACAAACAUACCACCAAGAGAGUAAAACAAACACACAAGGACACAAAGAUUUAUAGAGGUUCGGCCUCCUGCCUACGUCUUUUUGGUGAUUCACUCGAGAAAUUCACUAGUAUGUAAAAAUAACUUUGGUUACAACUGAACCCCCUUAGCCCUCACAAGAACCUUAGAUCUCUUUUCUCUCACCCUUGCUCAAACCCUUUGAUGCCCUUGUAGACACUCAAGAAUUCACCCUUGAAUUCUAUCUUGUGUUACAUCUUCUCUUCUCCCUUUUGUUAACCUAACCCUAAAAGUCCUAUUUAUAAUGCAUAGGACUUAAGUUACAAGUUAACUUGGAAUAGGAAACAUAAAAUACCCCAAAAAUUGGAGAAAAUCUGUCCAAAUCUAGCCUGCAAAAUCAUCCUUCUGCCGCUCGAGCUGCCGGUGGCGCUCAUGGGAUGGGGGAAUUGGAGAUUUUCUUUUCAAUUUUAAUUGUUUAAAAGAUAUACAAUUUUUUAUUAUAAUAAUUUUUCCAUUUUUAAAAUACACUUGAAAAUAGAAAGCUUAAAAUGCCCUUAAAAAUAGAUGGAAAAUUGGAUGGUGUUAAAGUCAGAUGACAAAUCAUGGAUUUUGAAAAAUUAAGGUGACAUUUCUCUGAAAUUUUUCUUUUAAAAGUGACAAAUUGAAACUGAGGUAUAAGUUCAGGCGACAUUUCUACAAAAAUCCCUAUACAUUACAAUAUUAUAACAAUAAAAUUGGCUAAAAUUGAUAUGUUCCCUCUUUUCUUUUCUUUUUCUCUUUUCCUUUUCAUUUUAUGCUUUGUUGCUAUUGCUAUGUUUAUCCUACAAAUAUAGCAACUUCUCCACCAUUCAUUUGUUAGUGACUACGAUGCUUAGUAACUUCUUCAGCUCCCCUUAUUUCCAUGUACUAACCAGGGACACCAGGUCAGCAUCUUCGGUAAGAAUCCUAACUCAAUCAAACAAUGACAUCUGUAAAUAUUCAAAAUUGGAAUUUGCAUUGUGAUAGUUGAAAGCAUCCUUGUCCCAAAAAAAGCCAAAAAAUAAAAUAAAAUUGAGAGCAUUAAGUCCUUUUCAAAUUAUGCUAAUAUGCAAAAUUGGAAUUUUGAUGGAGUUGCUUCCUUGACUUUUCCACCUUUGUAUCCAGUCCACUUUGCACAAGGAGCCAAGUUUGAGAGAUAGUUUUCUGUAUUUACACCAUCCAGGAGAAAAUUAAAAAACUAUUUCAUGCCAAACUAACUACGGAUUCUUGCAAAGGACCCAUUAGUGUAGUGGUUUGGAGUAUUUACUCCCUCAGGCAAGGUCUUGGGUUCGAGUCCUAGCAUUCAUGUUGUGUGUGUGAGUUUAAUAUGCUAUCACCCCUUCCAAUAGGAAAGGACCUCAAAAAAAAAAAAAAAACUACAGAUUCUUUAAUUGAAAGAAACCCCAUAUUAAUCAUCCUUUGGCACAUAAAUGUUUGGUAAUUGGCAUUAAAGUAUCUAAAGGUUACGAAAUUAAAGAUUUUAAUGCAAACCUAAAAUUGGAAAAGAGGGCACCAAUUCAUGUAAAAUAUGGUGUACUUAGUAGAUCCAACAUAUUUUUUUAGCAACCAAGGACAAUCAUCAUUUUUUUUUUUAAGAACCAAGGAUAGCUUACAUUCUAGUUUGUCCAUCAUGUCAACACAUUUAUAAUUAAAACUUCUUUUUUGGUGAGGUUUCAAUUUUUGUCACUGUAACAAGACCACAAUUGCCAUUCAGUAUGCUAACAUUGUCACUAUGUUUGCCAAUUGCAUAUUAUCUAGAACAUAAAGGCUUUGGUGUUUUGUAUAUCCUCGGGGUGCCAAACCUGUCUUUAUAAAAAUGGUCCUUAUGAUACUACUUUAACAACAAAAAAAUAUAAUAAACUAGGCCUUUGUAGUCACUGAACGAAUGUUUUCUCAUAGAUAUGACUAUUUAAAUGUAAUUACGGGAUUAAAACAUUAUAAUAAAUUGGAGUGAACCAUAACAUUAUAUAUGAUCCAAUCCUUUUCAUAUAUUUUUGUUCAAGACUUUGUUUUAGAAUGCUCUUUUACUAAUUUGGUACAGGUCCCUAAAAUCUACGCCUUUAUGAGGCAACGUCUUUAUUUCUUUGGUUAUUCCAGUUUAGAAUAUAUUUGUACAAAUGAGAUGACUCCCAACAUAAAGUCACAUUCAACCAAAAAGCAUGAAGUCACACACAAAAAGAACACGGACAAUUGCUAAGUUUAUCUUGUAUCCUUAUUUUAUUGAUCCAACCCAAUUGAAAAAUAAAAAAGAUGAUAUAAUAUAUUGUUCACUGCUUACAUCCAUGAGUAAAGUCCUCCAUUUGAAAUUGCGUGAUUAUACAAAAUUGGAAUGAAAAAAGAAAAUCCUACAACUAAAUUUGAUAUAUUCCUUUUCAUUUUAUGUUGGAUGUUAAGUUUUCUUGUUUCUUGUUGAAAAGAAAAAUGAAAAGAAAUAAAUAAAUUACACAGCUAGCAACUUCUCCACCUUCCCUUCUUCCCAUGUACUGACAACAAGGGAGGCCUUCAAUCCAAAAUAAAGACAAGGGAUGCCAGGUCAGCAUCUCAGAUAAGUAUCCCAACCAAAACCAAUCAAAUAAUGACAUAUGUAUCUCUUUUUGUGUUUUGUUCUAUUUCUCUUUGAAUUAACUGCGAAGUUUCAUAAGCGUGUCCUCCUUUUGAAAUUGUGUAUUAUUCAAAAUUGGAAUUUGCUGGUCAUACUUGAUAUAAGCUAAAACAGUUUCCAACAUCUUGUACCAUUUUUUUCCAGUGUGGGUCAUAACUUGAAGAAGCCCACCGACAAUUUCUCAAAAGCUAUUACCAUCCAACUUUGAAAAAUAAAAGUUUCAAAAGUUACCCCAAACAACAGCCCUUGAAAGAGAGUUUUCCAAGGCUAAAGAUUACAAGGAUGUUAUUGGCACAUGCAUUAACGUGUGACAAGAAGUUAGUUAUAUUUAUAAAGUAAAAGAACGAAGUACAUAACAUGUAAGUUGAUGCCAAAUAUUUGAUCAACAGAGCUAAACAUAAAACCACGACAAUAUAACGUUGUUCACCAAAAAUUGUGUUUCGUUGAGGGUCAGUAGUGUAGGUUUCAAGAUACGAUUUAUUUUGUUAAAGAAUAUUCUGAUAUUCUAACAAUAAAAUUGGCUCAAUUUGAUAUGUUUCUUUUUUUUUUUGUUUUUGUUUUCCCUUUCAUUUUAUGCUUUGUUGUGCUAUUGCUAAGUUUAUCCUAGAGACCAGGGAUGCUUAGCAAGUUUCUUCACCUGCCCUUCUUCCCAUGUACUAACUAGGGAUACCAUGUCAGAAUCUUAGAUAAGAAUCCCAACCCAAUCAAACUAUGACAUCUGUAAGUAUUCAAAAUUGGAAUUUGCAUUGUGAUAGUUGAGUGGAAGAAUCGAUUAAGGCUUGAGUGGAAGACAAACUUCAGUGGAGGAAAGUAAUUAAUCUCACAAGACAUAGCCCAUCAGUUGGCUCAUUUUUCUUGAGUGUGUAGUCCUGGCCUUGAGGCGAGGCCACAUUGCUUUGGAGAUUUCUUUCUACUUGGUGAAAUUAUAAUUUAGAAGAAGCAAACUGCGUUUUGCAAUUUGUGCGAUUCAAGCAUAUCUGACACUAGUAAUUAGACCAUAAUCUUUGUCCGACCAGAAAAUAAGAAAAGUUGUCUUGUACCAUUUCUGCCAGUGUGGGUCCCACCCACCCCAUACGAGUAAUUUGAAGAAGUCCACCGACAAUUUCCCAAAAGCUUUGGCGUCCAACUUUGCCGACCCCAUCCCCAUGUGAGGCCAUAGAAAAGUUUUCAGCCACAAUCAAAGAAGGGAACAGUCCUUGAAAAGAGAGGGUUUUCCAAGGCCAAGAUUACAAGUUCAUGUUAUUUACAGUCUCAAAAAGCUUCCAUACUUGUUUACAAACCUGUAUUUUCAAGUUGUGCUAGCCUAGCUAUUUGCAAAUCUUGGAAUAUUUUACUUCAUCCAAAUCCCUUGCAGUCUGCAGAGAAGAUAAAAGACAUGGCUUUGAUUGGAGAGGCUCUUAUCUCUGCUUCCGUCCAGGUGUUGUGCGACAGAAUUACUUCACCCGAGUUCGUUGACUUAUUUUGGCACAAGAAACUCGAUGAGCCACUCCUCAGGAAGCUGAGGACGACACUGUUGGCCUUGAACUUGGUGCUCAAUGAUGCAGAGGGGAAGCAACUUGUGAACCGAGAUGUGAAAAAGUGGCUUGACGAGCUCAGACAUGCUGUCUUUGAUGCGGAGGACUUACUGGAUGAGAUUGACACUGAAGCUUUGCGAUGCAAGCUGGAAGAAGGUGAAGAUCAAACUCACAAAUUUACCAAUAAGGUGCGGAACUUGCUCUUUUCUCCUCGUAGUCAUUUUUAUCAGAGCAUGAAUGAUAAGAUAAAAGAGUUACUAGCAAGGUUAGAAAACUUUGUACAACUGAAAAGUGCUCUUGGUCUGGGAGAAGUUGCUGGGAGGAAGGUUUCGCAAAGAACUCAAACAACCUCCUUGGUUCUUGAACCUUAUGUAUAUGGUAGAGAUGAAGUCAAAGAAAAGUUAUCAAAAGUGUUGCUAUCUGAUGAAGCAGGCAAGGAUCCUGUGUCUUUCCUCACCAUUGUUGGAAUGGGUGGGGUUGGCAAGACAACCCUUGCUCGAAUGCUUUACAAUGACGAUAAGGUGAAAGGGCAUUUUAAACUUAAAGCUUGGGCUUGUGUUUCAGACUACGAUGAUUAUAUUAAAAUUACUAAAACUCUCCUUGAGGCAGUCACUUCAAAGCCUUGUAACACGGCAAAUCUGAAUUUGCUUCAAAAAGAUCUAAGAGAGCAAUUGAGGGGAAGGAAAUUUUUAUUUGUGUUGACCUAUGGAAUGAGAAUAAUGAGGAUUUGAACUACCUUAGAGCUCUUUUUAUUACUUUAGGAACAAUGGGAAGUAAAGUCAUUGUAACAACACGGAACAAAAAUGCAGCAUCUGUCAUGCAAAAUGUUCAUAUUCAAUACUUAGAACCAUUGUCGUAGGAGGACUGCUGGUUAUUACUUGCAAAACAUGCAUUUGGAAAUGAAAAGUGUAGUGCACAUUCAAACUUGGAAGACAUUGGAAAGCAAAUUGCACUCAAGUGCAAAGGGUUGCCUUUAGCUGCACAAACACUUGGGAGUUUGUUACGUUGCAAUAUGGAUUUCGAGUACUGGAAUAGAAUACUAAAUGAUAGUUUUUGGGACCAACCCUAUGAUAAAACUAACAUUCUUCCGGCUCUAGGGUUGAGUUACCAUUAUCUUCCUACUCAGUUGAAACGAUGCUUUGCUUAUUGUUCAAUUUUUCCAAAGGAUUAUGAGUUUGAAAAGGAAGAUAUAGUUCAAUUAUGGAUUGCAGAAGGUAUAAUUCCACAAGCUGAGAAUGGAAAAAGGAUGGAAGCAUUGGCUAGAAUAUACUUUGAUGAGCUGUUAUCACGAUCGUUGUUUCAAAAGUCAAGUAAAUUCAGCUUCAUUAUGCAUGAUCUCAUUAAUGACUUGGCUAUGUUCAUGUCUCAGGGGUUUUGCCUUAGGCUCGAAGAUGGGGUAUCCCGUGAAGUUAAAAGAGCUCGUCAUUUGUCAUAUGCUAGGGGAGAAUUUGAUGCUGCUCCAAGAUUUGAACCAUUAUAUGAGGCUAAAUGUUUGCGGACCUUCCUACCUACCAUUUGUUGUGGGCAAAUCUACUGGAUCAGGCAUAAGAGAACUGAGGCAGUUCCCGCAACUUCGAGGAAAACUAUCAAUUUUGAAGCUACAAAAUGUAGUUGAUGCGAGGGAUGCACUGCACGCCAAUAUGAAGCACAAGAAAGAUCUCAAGGAGUUAGAGCUUUCAUGGGGUGCGGAGGAUGCUGAUGAUUCCCAAAAGGAGAAAGAUGUACUCGACAAGCUCCAGCCUUGCGUGAAUUUGGAGAAAUUAACCAUCAAAUUCUAUGGUGGAACUAAUUUUCCGAAUUGGUUAGGAGACUCGUCUUUUUCUAACAUACAAGUCAUGCAUCUCAGUGACUGUAGUUAUUGUUGGUCGCUCCCACCAGUUGGACCGCUACCGGCACUCAAACAGCUCUGUAUAAGAAGAAUGAAGUUUGUGAAGACGAUUGGCGUUGAAUUCUAUGGCAGAAAUGGAGCUUAUCUGACUCAGCCAUUUCGAUCUCUGGAGAAGCUAGAGUUUAGGGAGAUGCCAGAGUGGGAGGAAUGGGUACCAAGUGGAAGUGCAAGUGGAGGUGAAUAUGGUCCAGACUUUCCUCGUCUCCAGGAGCUGAUUCUAUACGAGUGUCCGAAGCUAAGAGGAAGUUUGCCUUGUGAGUUGCCUUGCUUGAAGAAGCUUACGGUGUAUGGGUGUAAGGUUUUACAUGAUGGAAGGGCCAUUACCGCAACUACCAAUAGUCUUAACUAUAAAUCUCUGGAAGAAUUGAAUAUAAGUGGUGGAUGCCAAACUCUGUUAUCAUUAUUAGAGACAAAGCUCCUGUCCGGACUUGAGAUUCGAAAUGUUGUUGACAUACAGUGCUUGCCCAACUGCAGUCGUCUUCAACAUUUGACUCUUUCGAAUUGUCCAACGCUGUCAUCAUUUCCCAAAGAUGGCCUACCCACUACAUUGACAUCACUUUAUAUAAACAAUUGUAGGAAAUUAGAAUUCCUACCUCAUGAGAUGUUGGCCAAAUUAACAUCGCUUGACUAUUUGUGCAUACAAAAUAGCUGUGAUUCAAUGAGGUCCUUCCCGUUGGGCAUUUUUCCCAAAUUGACGAGGCUUGAAAUUCGUGGUUGUGAGAAUCUGGAAUCCCUUUCCUUGAUUGAAGAAGAAGGAGCUGUUGAGAAUCUCAGCCAUCUCAAUUACUUGCAAGUCUAUAACUGUCCAAAAAUGGUGUGUUUUCACGAGGGAGAAUUGCCCACUCCCAACCUGAGUCACUUUGUAGUCGGUGGUUGCGAGAAUUUGAAGUCAUUGCCCAAAAGCCUUCACACCCUCACUGCCCUUCGAUCUUUGUCGAUAUGUAAUCUUCCGAAUCUGGAGUCAUUUGCAGAAGAUGGGGGUUUGCCUCCCAACCUCCGACAAGUAAGUAUUAGGAAUUGUGAGAGACUGAGGGCUUCAUCAGUGGGUUUGCAAGCACUUGACUCCCUUGAGAUCAGUGGAAGUGACCAUGUAUUCUCUAUCACACUCUUCACAUCUAUUCUCUAUCAACUCUGAAAUCUUUGGACGGAAAGGGUCUUGGACACCUCACUUCUCUUCAAGAGCUAGAUAUUAACAGGUGUCCAAGUCUGGAAUUCCUGCCAGGAGAGGAACUUCAACACCUCACUUCUCUUCAAAAUCUAUACAUUUGGAACUGUCCCAGUCUUCAAUGCUUGCCAGAAGAGGGUUUUCCAUCAUCUCUUUCUCAUCUGAGUAUCCGCCGGUGUCCUACCCUGGAGGAAAGGUAUAAGAAUAAAACGGGACGAGAUUGGGCCAAGAUAUCUCACAUUCCUUGCAUCGAGAUAGGCAACGAAGUGAUCAUAUAAUAUGAGCUAUUCCAUAUUUCACGCUCAACCCUCAACUCUCAAAUCAAAGUCAGGUGAGGUAUGUGCCUUCUCUUACUUUAAAAAACUGCUGCUCAAUAACACUCUUCGCACUCUAUAUAUUAUGGCCUGUCAGUCUAAAAUUCCUGCCAGGAGAGGAACUUGAACGCCUCUCUUCACUGCAAAGGCUACAUAUUUGUGGGUGUGACAAUAUCCAAUUCCUGCCAGAAGAGCGUUUGCUGCAAUCUCUUUCUUAUCUGUGCAUCGACCAUUGUUUUGCCAUGUAGAAAAGGUAUCUCACAUUCCUUGCGUCAAGAUAGGUGAAGAAGUGAUCAUAAGAUAUGAGCUCUCUCUCCCUCUCGCUCACAUACAAAGUACUUAAAACACUCAAUCUGAUUUCUAUUAUUAUUUUGCUCAGUAAAUUUUGUUUAAAUUUGCUUUGUUUCUCAUUGCGCUUGUUCUGCUUAUCACAACUUAUAUCCUAUUUAAAUCUCAAAUGCUGAAUAGUUAGCAGUCUUUUCGCAGGACAGCAUAUCUUCUCUUGGAGAGCUAUUCAUUUGCAAGGUUUCUUUAUGUGUCAUUUCCAGAGGAGGGUUUACUAUUUAAUAGAAAGGUUCACCUGGAAUAUCUCAAAUGACACAUUCCCAAAUACAGGCAUUGAAUGCACAACAUUUUGAGGUACUAUUUUUGUAAUAAAAAUGUACUUGAGUCUCAUUUGAGCUAGUUUAAAUUGUAUUCAAUGUCUAUGGAUAACCUGUGAGCUUAAGUUGUAAGAUAAAACUCACAGUAUAUUAUUAGGGUUUAGGGUUCAACAGGUGAGCUUAAGUUGUACUUUCCUAGGUACUGCAUGUAUAUUAUCUUAGUAUCAACACUUGGUCUUAUGUGGACGAGAGAGAACAUUUGAGGAAUUACAAAAUCUUCUUAGUGAAUUAAGCUUGUUUCAGCUCUGUUUGUCAUCCCUCACAUUUUCUUUGUUAAGCCUUGAUUUUUUAUUAGACAUACGAAAAAAUGCUUUUAUAAGACAGGAGAUGAAUGCUUUUAUAUGUUGAUGUCGUAGUCAGUCUUCAACCACACUCUGUUUUUAGAAUUCAUUUAUGUUACUAGUUGAGAGCUGCUGUAUUUUAUAUUUCGUUCCUGUAAUGUUUGGAUGUUUAGCUUGAGCAGUCUAGCUUAUCCAGUAGAUAACUUGUCCCCUGUUUUGUAAUGUUUUUGUUUCCUCUAAUGAAAGCAGGUUUUACUUAUCUUGAACUGCAGAAGCCUACUUUUUGACAUAGGUGGCAUGGCACAAACUCGCAUCCGCAUUUCCAUCCCCAUUGGCAUGCUGUCUCAUCUUUUCUAUUCUGUUACCAGCUUGAAGCUUGUGUGGACAUGUUAUGCUCUUGUAAUUCUGAUCACAAACAUCACUUGACAAAUGGAAAGUCACAAUCAGAUCUUUCAGGUGAUCUGGAGGUUUACUUUCUAACAUUUGUUUUCGUGGGGGGGAGACAACAAUACAGAAUUUAAAAUUUCUGAUAAUCAAUAGUAGUUUGCAUAUAUCAGCUGGGACCUGUAUGACUGUAUUAUGUAAUUAAUUAUUUCUCUUAUUGUUUGGGUACUGUUAAAAGGAGUUAGCCACACAACAUAAAAAAGGAGGUCUCUUAUUUCAUACAAUUUUUCAAAUGUGAUCAUUAAUCCGUUUCUUUUUCAACAAUAGAGGAAUGUAUACUAAUCGUCUGGUCCAUCUGCUGCUUCACUCCCUAGUAGCUUCAUCUCCUGUCCUUUGCUUUAUUUCUGUUGAUGAAUGUUUUGUCUGGGUUAUUUAUUUUCAUUUCAUGUCCAUUGCUUUAUUUCUGUUUGGAUUCUUAAUUAAAUCUGUCCUGGACUUGAACAAGGGUUAGGUUAGCUGUAUAAUUUGCGGUUUUAUAUACACAACUGUCUACAUUGAUUAAAACCAGCAUUAUUCUAAGGUUCAUUUAGAAUGUAUUAUCACCAAAAUUAUAAAGAAUACUUCUAUUACAAUUAAUUUGUUGAUUCUAAUUUGGACUUGUAGGAACAGACCAAACAUGUUCAUGCGUGGCAUUGCUCAAGUCAUCAUCAUUCGAGACAGAGAAUAAGCCUUCAAGUGUCUGCUGAGUCAAUGAACCUUUCUAGAUAUCUCAAGUGUAAUGGAAAUUGAUGAGUUACAAAGGAUUUGUAAACAUUUUCUACUGGAGGCUAGAAAUGCUUCAAAUAAAUGACCGUGUUGCAAUUAUUUUGUAGGAUCAAAGACUCUGCAAAGAGGUAAGAAAGUCAUCAUCAAGUAACUUUGCUCUUCAAACUUUUUAUUUUUAUUUUUAAAUAUCAGUAAUAACUGGGAAAGCUUGCAUCUCCUUAAAUUGCUCAUUCUUACAUCUUUUAUAGUUUGUUGAUCUUGGGCAAGUGGAGAGAGAGGCGUCAAGUGAUACGCAACAACCAUUUUCUGUGAGCUGAUUUGAUAAAGAGAAAUGGUAUGCUUUCUUGUCUUAAGCGGUGUGUUCUGCAAUUAUUUGAAACAAAGGAUGCCGCACUUCAAGUUCGAGAAAAUCAGGUAUUUUAGUAUUUUAUUCUUGAGAAAUUUGAUUUAUGUAGAAACUUGAACAUGUAAAUAAAAUAAAUAAAAUAUAUUAUAUGCUGUUAAUGAGUUAAUAUGGUGCUUGCUUCUAGUUGGAAAUUUAUGUAGUCAUCUACCUAUGAUCAAAUAAAGAUGAAGAAUAAAAUAUAAUUGAGAGCAUCUUCCUCUCCCCUGCUUUGCUCAUCCCUUGUUCUUCCACUUCAGCCCCACUAUUACACCAUUUUUUCAGCCACAAUUAUAAUAGCUCCAUGAGCAUUAAGUCCUUUUCAAAUUCUGCUGACAUUCAAAAUUGGAAUUUGCUGGUGAUAUAUGAUAGCAUCUUUGUCCGACCAAAAAGAGAAAAAAAAAAAGUUGAUAGCAUAUUGUACCAUUUUGGCCAGUGUACGCAAUAUUAUUGCAUCCAACUUUGCAUAUUAACAUCAGUGGCCACAGUUCCAUGAUUUGAGUGCACAGAAAAGUUUCAAAAGUUGUCCCACAAAGAACAGUCGUUCAAAGUGAAAGAGAGAUUUCAAAGCUUAAUUACAAGUUCAUGUUAUUUACAAUAUCAAAAAGCUUUCAUACUUGCUUACAAACCUGUAUUUCCAAGUUCUGCAAACCUUGGAAUAUCACUUCAUCCAAAUCCCCUUCCAAAGCAGGAAAAAAUGGCAGCAGCUUUGAUUGGAGAGGCUCUCAUCUCUGCUUCUAUCGUGGUGUUGUGUGACAGAGUUACUUCAGCCGAGUUCAUAGACUUAUUUCAGCAGAAGAAACUUGAUGAAACACUCCUCAUGAACCUGAAGACGACACUGUUGAUUUUGUUUGCGGUGCUCAAUGAUUCAGAGGAGAAGCAAAUUGUGAACCCUGAAGCUUUGCGAUGCAAGCUGGAAGGUGAGGAUCAAACCCACAAUAAUUAACCAAAAAGGAUCUUUUUGAUUGUUUGAAAGGAGGGUCUUGAUGAUUUGAAAGGAGAGGGUUGCUUUAUUUCUGUUGGAUGCUUAAUUAAAUCUUAUUUGGAGUUGAACAAGGAUUAGGUUAGCUGUAUAAUUAGUGGUAAACGCCUUUUUCUAAGGGUCAUUUAGACUCCUAUUACGAUUAAUUUGUUGUUUCUAAUUUGGACUUGUAGGAACAGACCAAAUAUGUUCACACGUGGCAUCGCUCAAGUCAUCAUCAUUUCAGACUGAAAAUCAGCCUUCGAGUGUCUGUUGAGUCAAUAAACCUUUCUAGAUAUAUCAAGUGCAAUGGAAAUUCAUGAGUUACAUAGAGAUUUUUAAACAUUUUGAAGAUUGCAACACCUGCAAGUGAGAUAGGCGGUGACGAAAUCAGAGCUGAUUUUGAAGCCUCUGAUGCCCCUGUUGUUGCAAGUUGCACCUGAGAACAAGUUUUUUUUUUCUUUGGGGUAAAAAACUGGCAACAUGUUCGGAGCUGACAAUUCAAUCCCUGAUGAACUAGAGAAGCAAAGCUCCGGUAAGGAAAUUGGUCAAGGUUGUGACAGGGAUGAUUGAUGGUGAAAUGGAUGCUAUUUCUUAUUGCAGCCUGUUCUCAAAGUUCUUGUUGGCAAAUGCAAUUGAUGGAGUAUUUUGAUUGGGAGGAGAGAUAAUGACAUGGCUUGACAAUUCUAGAACAGCCCAUCAUUAAUCCCAGAAAAAAUCCCGUUUCUGCUAAACAAUCACUUAUGGCAAGGCCAACUCUGUAAAUGGAAUUUGUGAUCCCUUCAAAUUGUACACAUUUUUUCUUUUUGAGGAAUUUAAUCAAACAGUAUUCUAAUGCAUUAUGAUAGCACUACACGCUUUUGUUGUAACAAAUUACAAGGAGGAAUUUGGAUUGAGUUUCUUGUAUAAGCACACCUUACACAAAUUUCGUAUAUUUUCUUCCAGCAAGUCUGUUUAUUAACCCCCUUAUCUGAAAUUAAUUGUUAAAAGUUUUGAUUCAUCUUUAAUCAGUGUCUUACCCUUGUUGAAUAACACUCCUCUUUCUAAUUUAUAUUUGAAGUUUGAGCUUUCAAUUUCAAUUGUGGGCUUUGAUUUUUCAGAUUUUGUUUGUCAAUUUCAGUUUGGACAAAGCAUAUAUGCAAACAAAGUAAGCAUUUUAUGUUAUACUUUUGAACUAGGUGUUGAUUUGAUUUAAUCAUAAGUUUUGCUGGUGCAUUUACUAGGCUAAUCAUUCAAUACUUUUGAUCAUAGAACUUCUUUGGUUGAUAUUAUCUUUGUUAAGUUUAACCAUAACUUUAGAGAGGGGACUUCAACAGAUUUAUAAUCUCAUCAUUAUAGUAUUAAAAAUUAGAGAUUAUUUAAGGCAUUGUCUAUUAUCUGAAUUCUGCUUACUUUUAGUUCAUAUGUUUACAUCUUAGCAUAUUCAUGUGAUUAGUGCGGCUCAUACCACAAAGGCAAUUUUAGGCUCAUCAAGUGCUAAGCAAUGUCAAGCUUCCAAAUGACAAGUUCUCUACAUAGUUUGAGACCUACACUUACUAGAUAUUAGAUCAUUUCGAUCAUUUCCAUAUGUUUAUAUGUAAUUGACAUGUUAUAACAUUUUUGUAGCGUUAUAUAAUUAUUUAGCAAUUUAAUUAUUUCUUUGCAACUUAAUUUUUUUUGUCAAUCAUACUAUUGUUGACUGCUAAAAACCAUCAAGAAAUAGUUCUCAAGUUAUAAAAAAAAAAAAAUUUUAAAAAAGAUUUGUUGAUGCUUAAAAAGCAUCAAGAACAGAUAGUUUCUUGACGGUUUUGUGACAUUUCAUAACUGUAGGGGGCUUUUUCUUCCGACAGCUGUAAAUGGGCUGGGCUGCCGUAAAGGGCAGACUGAUGAAAUUGUCCCCUUUUGUAUGAGCUCAAAAAUUAAGCCCCAAAAUACUUUGAAAGGGCAGCAGAGCCUUAGGAAGUAUUUUGGUUACCCUCACCAACUAAAACAACAACAACUUACAGGUAAUUACUUAAUGCUUAUGGAUGAACUCUUGAGCUUGGCAUGAGAGACAUAUGGCAUGGAAGCAAAAUCAACAUGAGUUUAGCACUGAGGGGAAAUUUAGGCUCUCUUGGGGGAAAAAGGGAAGUGUUAAGGUGAGAGAGGAGAAGUUUGUAGGAGAUUUAGCUAAGAAAGGAGAAAUAUAGAACAAUGCUCUUUUGGCAGCUUGACAGAUGCUCUGUUUGCCAGAAAAGGAAGAUGGAGAAGAAAUGUGAAUAGUGCAAGAGUUUGCUAGAUUUUUGCAGGUAAGAGAGGAAGCUUGCUCUCUGGGUCUGAGUUGAGUUUUUUUGUGUGGAAGAGACCUCAUUUUAUAGCCCUUGGAAACCAUCACUUCCCAAGAAACCCUAAUGGCUUCUACCCAUUUUGGCCAAGCUUUUCCCUUCCUUUCUCAUUUCCUUCCUUGACUUUACCCCUCUUGAUGAAAUCCCCUCUGCCUAUUUGCACCAUAUCAGAGUUUUUUGAAGCUCAAGGCCCCUUUUUCCCGCAGUUGUCUCAAUGGGAGACUUCCAUUCCCAGUCAUCUCCUUUAUUGCUUUCCUUUCUUUUUUUCAUGGCCAAGUUUGGUGGGGAAAGGAGUUGGGAUAUAUAUGCUGGUUUGAAGGGUGCUUCUCUUCCUGGCAUCUUACACACUAAUACCCCUUGGUUCCUUGAAUGUUUUGGCUUUGAAACUUGCUCUCCCCCCCCCCCCCCCCCCCCCCAUGUACUGGAACCUACCAGCAGCUCUAUUCAAUGAAUCUUCAGACCUUCUCUUCGUGGCUUUUAUUUUUUAUCAACGGGCUGGGGCUUUUGUGGCUCAUUGUGGCAAUUGUAUGGGCUAAGGUGGUUCAUUAAGUAAGUGGGCUAUUUUUAUUAAACAUUAGGCUUUUUGGUUGAGUCACUAGGCUAUUUUGAUUGGGCUAUUGGGCUAUUUUUUUCCUCUCUUGUGCUCACCCACAUGUUUGGACCAAAGAAAUGAGCUUGAGUCCUGAGGCUCCCAAGCGACCCGAGACUUUCCAUUUCUGGCCCAUCAAUGGGCCUCAUGUUGAUUUAUUACCAUCCAUACCACAACCCACUCAAGCAGGCUCCGGGCAUUUGAAUGACUUGGGCGCACUUAGGCUUGUAGUGUGGUUGGGUGCGAAAUAACGAUUUCGUGCUUGGCAUGUUUUAAUUUUAUCAUCCUUGGGAAAGGCUGCGAUGUUUGAUUUCGGCAUGGGCUUGUAGAGCUGGUAUGCUUUAUUUCAACUCCUAGCAUGACGAAUUAUUUAUUUAGCAUGGCACGUGAAUUACAACUCGCAUGUGGUGGGUUUUUGUGUACUACACCUUACGCCUCUUCUUAAUAGAACAUCGUUUUGGGCUGAUAAUUUAUUCGGGCCAAACCGUGAAUUUUUUGGGUCUCAAUAAUAACCAUCAUGAAACAUUACAUUUUGACUGACGUCAAGAAAUGGGGUAUCCCUUUCCUGAUAGUGGCAUCCAUGAUGCCUUCCAAGCAGUCAAUUAAGGGCUAUCGUGAUGCAUUUUAGUUGUCAGCAAAAGGUGUUUUUCUUGUACUGUAUUCACUCAAAGUCGUGUUUCAUUUAAGAUUAGUAGUAUGGUUGAAUACCAUUUGUUUUGUUAAAGAAUAUUAUACAUUAGGGAUUUUUGUAGAAAUGUCAUUUGAACUUAUACCUUAGUUUCAAUUUGUCACCUUGAAGAAAAAUUUAAGAGAAAUGUCACCUUAAUUUUUAAAAAUCCAUGAUUUGUCAUAUGACUUUAAAAUCAUCCAAUUUUCCAUCCAUUUUAAGGGUAUUUUAGUCUUUUCAUUUUGAAGGAAAAAAAAGAGAUGAAAAAAGAGACCUCUCUCUUACUUUGUCCCUCAACCCAACCCCACCCGCCCCCCAAAACACAUCACAUAGGAUUGCCUCCCCCUUCCCCACUUUUCUUUUUUCUUUUUGUCCUACUUUUCCACUAUGUUUAUGUUGAAGGAUCUAAAGUUUGCUUGGUCACCAUCUGUUACGUAGGCUUCCCAAUUGUUAGUUUGGGUGGGUUGUGGGAAUUUGUGUGCUCGAAACCCGAGACGAAUCUUGUGGAAUUCCCGACAUCACACCGAUGCCGGGCCCACUUCUGAACUAAAUUCUCUUUUCCAAAAUUAAGGAAAAAGAGUACGAGGCUUUCUGCCGAAAUUUCGACAGAGUAUUCCCUAUAAAUUUAACAUUUCAGCUUUGGUGGCCGUUCUCUCAUUUCAGCUUUGGUGGCCGGAUGAGAGAACGGUCGGCUAAAACGUGGCCAGCUGGCACUGCCGUCGCGAGAGAGAGAGAGAGAGAGAGAGAGAGAGAUUUUUAUCAAAUCAUUUUUGCCAAAAUUACGAUUAUGCAACUGAGGGUAUUUUGAUCGUAUCUUUUUCAUUAUAACUCUGAUUCAAGCCCACUACGUGUUUACGGACUCAUCUCGCCGUGCUCUAUGCAAUUGUAUAGUUGAAAUUCCCAAAUUCCACCCCAGUCAAAAAUUCAACUUUAAACCCUACAAAAUAUUAUAGGGGCAAAAUGGUCUUUUAUCUAAUUAAAUUAAUAAUUGAAAAUUUAUUUAGGACCGGGUUGUUACACUGUCGUUGAUGGACUGUGCGAUGACACUCACACAAAGUCCUUGAGAAUAAAACACACACACACCAUGAAGAGAGUAAAACAAAUACACAAGUACACAAAGAUUUAUAAAGGUUUGGCCUUCUGCCUACGUCCUCUUGGUGAUCCACCCGAGAAAUUCACUAGUACGUAAGAACAACUUUGGUUACAACUAAACCCCCUUAGCUUUCAUAAGAACCCUAGAUCUCUUUUCUCCCACCCUUGCUCCAACCCUUUGAUGCCCUUGUAAACACUCAAGAAUUCACCCUUGAAUUCUGUCAUGUGUUACAUCUUCUCUUCUCCCCUUUGUUAACCUAACCCUAAAAGUUAUAUUUAUAAUUCAUAGGACUUUAAGUACAAGUUAACUAGGAAUAGGAAACAUAAUAGACCUCAAAAAUUGGAGAAAAUAUGUUUAGAUCUCGUUAGGAAAUUGCACAACACGUGCGAUCCGCUCGAGCGCCUGCAAAAUGAUCCCUUUGUCGCUCAAGCUGCCGAUAGCUCAUGGGAUGGGGGAAUUAGAGAUUUUUUUUUUUUUCAAUUUUAAUUGUUUAAAAGAUAUACAAUUUUUUAAUAAUAAUUUUUCCAUUUUUAAAAUACCCUUGAAAAUAGAAAGAUUAAAAUGCCCUUAAAAAUGGAUGGAAAAUUGGAUUGCGUUAAGGUCAGUUGACAAAUCAUGGAUUUUGAAAAAUUAAGGUAACAUUUCUCUUAAAUUUUUCUUUAAAGUGACAAAUUAAAAUUGAGGUAUAAGUUCAAGUUACAUUUAUGCAAAAAUCCUUAUACAUUAUGAUAUUCUAACAAUAAAAUUGGCUAAAAUUGAUAUGUUCCCUCUUUAUUUUCUUUUUCUCUUUUCCUUUUCAUUUUAUGAUCCAAUCCUUUUCAUAUAUUUUUGUUCAAGACUUUGUUUUAGAAUGCUCUAUUACUAAUUUGGUACAGGUCCCUAAAAUCUCGGAGCCGCCUUAGUACAUUCAUAAUGUACAUGUUCAGAGUUCAAGAAUAAUGUAUAGAAUGUGAAAUUGACGAUGCCGGCCUUUAUGAGGCAACGUCUUUAUUUCUUUGGUUAUUACAGUUUAGAAUAUUUGCACAAAUGAGAUGAUUCCAAGCAUAAAGUCACAUUCGACCAAAAAGCAUGAAGUCACACACAAAAAGAACACGGACAAUUGCUAAGUUUAUCCUUGUACCCUUAUUUUAUUGAUCCGACCCAAUUGAAAAUUAAAAAAAGAUGAUAAAAAAUAUUGUUCACUACUUUAAAAUCUAUGAGUAGAGUCCUCCAUUUGAAAUUUCGUCAUUAUACAAAAUUGGAAUGAAAAAAGAAAAUCCUACAGCUAAAUUUGAUAUAUUUCCUUUUCAUUUUAUGCUGGGUGUUAGGGCUUGUCAAUGGGCCGGGCUAGGCUAGCCCGGCUCAAAUUUAAUGGGCUUGGGCUAGGCCGGGCCAAGCUUUAAAGAGGAGAGAGAAAAUAUCCGGCCGAGUUUUUUAAGAAAAUUCAAAGCCCAAGCCCGAAUCACUGCUGUCUAGCCCGGCCCAAAUUUAAUGAGCUUGGGCCAGGCCGAGCCAAGCUUUAAAGAGGAGAGAGAAAAUAUCCGGCCGAGUUUUUUAAGAAAAUUCAAAGCCCAAGCCCGAAUCACUGCUGUCAUUUCAUUGAUUUGUGACGAGCACAACCACCAAAUCAGAAUUUACUCACGAAAAUAUCAAGUAUGUCUAGCAAAUUUCAAUUUUGAAUAAUACACAAUUUCAAAAGGAGGACAUGUUGCAAGACAGCAUACCUUCUCUUGGGGUGCUUUUCAUUUUGCAACAUUUCUUUACGUGUAAUUUCCAGAGGAGGGUUUAUCAUUGUAUAUAGCUUUUCGGGUGGUUUGUCUACAAAACAAAUGUCACAAAGAAGGAGGAGAAACGGAAAAGAUUUACUUGGAAUGUCUCAAGUCUCCUUUGAGAUAAAGGCAUCGAAUGCACAACAUUGCUUUUGUGCUAUUUCAUAAUUAAAGUGUGCUUCCCAAGUCUCCUUUGUGUUUUGUAACUUGUAAUGUUUGUUUUUUUGUUUCCCCUGUUUUCCCUCUUAUAAAAGAAAUACAGGUCCAAACCACACGGAUCUACUUGCAUAAUAAUGGACCAAAUUUAUGAUUUUUAGAAAGAACCUUCUGCCGGUGGAAUCUUGGGCUACUGUUGUGGCUCUCCUCUGUGUGCCUCCUUUUUAGAACGGUAAAAUAUUCAAAAUACUAGAAAAUGUUCGUGAUUAAUAUAAAUAUUAAGAAUUGAAAUUAUUAAUUAAAUGAGGAUAAUAUGGUAAAUUCACACUUUUUUAUAUUAAAAAAAUUAAAAUUAAAAGAAAAAUCAGAUAAUUGAUAUUAUUUUUAUGGAACACAGCUACUCAUUAUCUUUUUUAAUUCUAAAAUAAAUUUAAAUUAAAGAAAAAAACCCCUCUCACAGGCACGGAAGCGCGUGCUCAGAGGCUAGUUAAAAAUAAUGAACUUUGCUUCUGAAGACGUCUAUACCAGACCCACUCAACCUGCUUUAUGAUUAUACAAAGAACAAACUCGUCCUUAGACUCAUUUGGUUAAACUUAGAAAAUAAUGAAACAAAAAUAUGCACUCCCACAAGUAACACAGCCAGGAUUGAAAACAACUGGACAAAGAAAGGCAUGUUAAAACAGAAUUUUCAACAACUCAUCACCAUUAGACAAGAAAAAGAAAAAUCAAUACAAAAACAGAAAGAACAGAGAAUAAAUGUGGUGGAAGAAAAACGUUGAAGCCAUUUGUGAAUCCAACAACACUACCACUCUGUUUCUCUCCUUUUGUUCAGGCGGAUCUGCAUAUAUCCUAAGGCGUAUUACGGAAACAACUUCUUGCCGUUAUACUUGAAUGUUGUGGAUGCUUCAACGUUGCCAUCUGGGUGGAGUGGAUUUGUCCAAUUCACCUUCACUAUGGUAUAUACGUCCAAAUUGUUGUUAUUUGAAAGGCUUCUAAAUUUUAACAUUUUGAUUUUUAAAUUUUGUUUAAAUAUUUCGGCCCACUUAGUUCUUCUCAAAAUAUGUCAUCAAUAUCGUUGAAAGGUUGAACUUAGUGAAUUAUUAUAGUGCAGUACUGUAGAAUAGACACAUGAUAUAAUUUGUCCACAUGUUAUAAUAUAAGUAAAUAUUUAUUGAUAUUAUUUCUAAAAAUAAGAAAUAUCAACCAUUAUAUCCUCCCAUAUUAUAAUACAUAUACAAAUUAUACCACAUUAUCAUACUCUAAUACCAUUUUAUAAUUUCUCGUACUUAGAGCGAGUCAAUGACAUUACAUAAUAUAUAAUUGUUCAUAUAAUGGGGCAACUAACGUGAUCAACAAGUUGUGGUGAUUAAUUUAACAUAAUAAAAAAUAUACCAUUUACUUGAGUGAUGUAACAAUUUGUUCUUUUAAAUUGGAUUGCCAUCACUUUAAUAUGAUAUGUUUCUUAUUAUAGUGUCCCAUGUUAAGUGCUUCAGCAUUGUUUGUGGUGUGUACACAAAUUUUCUUAUAAAAUGUUUUAAUGCUUCUCACAUGUAUAUCAGAUAUAGACAGUUGAUGUGACUUAGAAAUCAAAUUGUCAAUAAAGCAAAAAAAUAUAAUUGGUGAUUGAGGUCCAAUUUAAUAGAAAAUAGUCUUAACUUGUAUAUUAGAGGUUUCAGAUUCGAAUCCUCACUGCAUUAUUGUUGUAUACGUACACGAGAAAUCCUCUUCUCCAAUAAUUUAGACUAUCACUUAUACUAAAAAAAUAUAUAUAUAUAAUGACUUUUACGGAUGCAAACAUAAAAUUACACCAAACAAUAAUGGAAUAGAAAGAUGCAAGUUAUUUUUUUUUUUUUUACAUCUAAAGUAUACUUUAUAUAUAUAUUUAUUAUGGGUGUUAUAACCGUUUAAUUUUCAGUUUUUAUUUUCUAUUUAUUGUUUUAAUUUUUAUGGUUUAAUGUGUAUGAAGAUUACAAGUAUUGGAUGUCUACCACUCCUCCUUCACAUCUGAAACAAACCACCAUCUCAUUUCUGUAUUUUCAUACUUUCAUAUAUUUUCUACUUUCCAGAUUAUUAUUUUUGGGCAACGGUUCUGUGACUUGCAGAUUUCUAUCCGAUUGUUAACAUGCUCAUAGCGGACCUUGAGCUUGCGUAUUGGGGAUCGUAUCUUGGAGCCUUAUAGACCUUUAUUACCUGCAUGUAGGGAGGUUAUAAAUGCUUUAGGUCAGCAUCUUUGACGUGCUUUUGCUUUCUUUUUUUUUUUACUUAUUUCUUCGUUUCUUUAUUUUUACUUUACUUUUAAAUUUUUAUUUUAUGUAUUAUUUAUAUUUAAAAGUUUUGAAUAAGAGUUUUACAGAAAAGGAAAAACACAAUUUCAAAUAACACAAAUUUCUCGUUUUUGGUUCUUAAAAUAAAUGAAUUUUUUACUUAUUUGUGAACUGAAAUGCCUCUAAAAAAAUAAUGAUAGUUUGAAGAAUUUGAUAGAAAUUAAAAAAUAUCCUCAAAUUACUUGGAAUUGAAGACCACAUAGGCAAAAACACCAUUUUGGACAAAGGCUGGUGAUAAUAGUCGAUAUCAUCUUUAAGUACUUUAAUAUGAUAUGUUUCUUAUUAUAGUGUCCCAUGUUAAGUGUUUCAGCAUUGUUUGUGGUGUGUACACAAAUUUUCUUAUAAAAUGUUUUAAUGCUUCUCACAUGUAUAUCAGAUAUAGACAGUUGAUGUGACUUAGAAAUCAAAUUGUCAAUAAAGCAAAAAAAUAUAAUUGGUGAUCGAGGUCCAAUUUAAUAGAAAAUAGUCUUAACUUGUAUAUUAGAGGUCUCAUAUUCGAAUCCUCACUGCAUUAUUAUUGUAUGCGUACAUGAGAAAUCCUCUUUCCUAAUAAUUUAGACUAUCACUUAUACUAAAAUAUAUAUAUAAUGACUUUUACGAAUGCAAACAUAAAAUUACACCAAACAAUAAUGGAAUAGAAAGAUGGAAGUUUUUUUUUUUUUUCCUACGUCUAAAGUAUACUUUAUACAGUCCCGAUCUCUUGGACCACAGGAGUCCAAGAGAUUGUGGUCACCCACCGUUGGAUAUUAAUCCAAUGGUUCAAAAUGAUAUAUAUAAAUGCAAUAUGACAUAAAUGAUUAUUACCCGAUCCAAGUCAACCGUUGAAUUUACAUUCAACGGUGGGUGACCAUAAAUCUCUUGGACUACAGGGGUCCAAGAGAUCAGGACUGAUACUUUAUAUAUAUAUAUAUAUAUAUUUAUUUAUUAUGGGAGUUAUAACUGUUUAGUUUUCAGUUUUUAUUUUCUAUUUAUUGUUUUAAUUUUUAUGGUUUAAUGUGUAUGGAGAUUACAAAUAUUGGAUGUCUAUAAAGGGCCACUCCUCCUUCACAUCUGAAACAAACUACCAUCUCAUUUCUGUAUUUUCAUACUUUCAUAUAUUUUCUACUGUCCAGAUUAUUAUUUUUGGGCAACGGUUCUGUGACUUGGAGAUUUCUAUCCGAUUGUUAACAUGCUCAUAGCGGACCUUGAGCUUGCGUAUUAGGGAUCGUAUCUUGGAGCCUUGUAGACCUUUAUUACCUGCAUGUAGGGAGGGUACAAAUGCUUUAGGUCAGCGUCUUCGACGUACUUUUGCUUUCUUAUUUCUUCGUUUCUUUAUUUUUGCUUUACUUUUAAAUCUUUAUUUUAUGUAUUAUUUAUAUUUAAAAGUUUGAAUAAGAGUUUUACAGAAAAGGAAAAAUACAAUUUCAAAUAACACAAAUUUCUCGUUUUUUGUUCUUAAAAAAGAAGAAGCAUUGAUUGGGGAGUUAUGGUAAACUCAAUUUCAAUGGUUGCGAUGAGAGGCGGUGGCGGCGAGGAGAGGACGAAGGCUUUGCUGCCGACGGGGUGGUGUGGGUGGGUGGAGACCUCGGCUGGCUGCUUGGUCCUGGGUUCUCCUUUAAUUCUCUGUUUUCUUUUUUCUUUUUCUUUUUCUCUUAGAGUUAUUGAUGUUAAGUGAAUGGACAGAUGCCAAAAUAGGGACAGAAGUAGGGGUGGGCAUCAAUCCGGCCGAUCCGGUCAAUCCGGCCGAACCGAUUAUAUUGGAUUGGUUUGGUUUGGUUUUGACCAAAGAAAAAGUCAACAUUUUGAAAAACCGAACCGAACCGGUUUGGUUUGGUUCAGCUGUGGUUUGAGAGUUUUAAAAACUGUCCUAAACCGAACCGGACCGAUUAUAAAUCAAUUUAUUAUUUAUUUAAUUUAGUUUACAUGUGGCAAGGUUUGUGUGCGUUUUGUGAGUCCGCGUAUCUGAAUGUUGGUGCACGUUUUGAUCUUCUAAUUUGCAUAUCCCAGUUAUUUGUGUGUGCUUGUAUUUCCCUCUCUUUCUAUCUCUACUAUGUGUGUUUGCUCUUUGUGUUGUGUGGCUCUUCUUACUCUAUCUAUCUUAAUUAAUGGGUCCAUUUCAUAAUUUCAUACGCAUUCAAACUCCACCUCUGUGAUAAAAACAUUUACCUCUUUGUGAUAAAAGCUUUUCAUUUGUUUGUAUUUCUCUUUGGCUUUUUGACUCACUCACUGUCUUUCUUUCUUUUAAUGCUACUUGUGAUGAAUGCAAUGAGUAAAUUUAAUGCUACUUGGUUAAUGCAAAUUUUGUAUAUGUUUGUUUUGAUGGAAAUUGUGAACUUAGAUGCAUGCUAGACAUUGGACAACCUUUGAAUAAAUGGAAUGAUGUUGUAUUAGCCUUUGAUGGAAUGAAAUGAAAUGAUAUAAUGGCAAAAUGUUAGCAUUAUAAUGUAAGAGCAGGUUGAAAAAUGCAUGGUUUUGUGUUAGGCACAAACCGGCCGAACCAAUCCGAACCAAACCGAUUACAAGUGGUUUGGAUUGGUUCGGUUUCCAUUAUGAUUUUAGGCUAAUCCGAACCAAACCGGACCGUUAUUUUCUUAUUGGUUCAGCUGUGGUUUGAGAGUAAAACCGAACCAAUCCGGACCGUGCCCACCCCUAGACAGAAGAUGUGAACCCAAUUAUAUACAGCUGAUUACAUAAAGUAACAAAUUAAUUAAUACUUGAGUGGAGGACAGGCUUGAGUGGAAGAAUUGAUUAAGGCUUGAGUGGAAGACCAACUUCAGUGGAGGAAAGUAUAGAUAAGGAAAGCAUGCCUCGUUUAACGGCUUUAUCUAAUAAAGAUUAGUUGUUGGCACUUGGAGUUUCUUAGGAAUGCUGGUUUUGUUUCCUUGGUGGACUUGAAAGGUGGUGCGUUGGCUCGGACAUCUCCCUAGUAAUUAAUCGAAGGUGGAAUCUUACAAGACAUACAGCUGCUCAUUAGCUGAAUAUCUCGCUCUCUUUAAAGAGAUCGAAGCAAACUGCAAUUUGCAAUUUGUGUGAUUCAAGCAUGAAUAUCUGAUAUAGUAACUAUACCAUUUGUUGGUUUGAUAAGAAAAGUUUGGUUAGCGAGGAUGAAACCAUAAAGUUCUCCAAAACACACAAAAAACACGAACAAUUGCUAAGUUUAUUCUUGAGUUCACACAUAUUUGUACAAAUGAGAUUACUCCAAGCAUGACUAUACCAUUUGUUGGUUUGAUAUGAAAAGUACGGGCAACGAGGAUAAAACCAUACAAACACACACAAAGAACGUGGACAAUAUACUAAGUUUAUCUUUGCGUUAUUGAUCCGACCUAACUGUAAAAUAAAAAAGAUAAAAAUAUAUAAUGUUCACUACUUAGAUCUAUGAGCACUAAAGUCCUCCUUUUGAAAUUGCACAAAACAUCACUUUUGGUCUUUGGUAAAUUUUUAAAAUAAAUGAAUUUUUUACUUAUUUGUGAACUGAAAUGCCUCUAAAAAAAUAAUGAUAGUUUGAAGAAUUUGAUAGAAAUAAAAAAAUAUCCUCAAAUUACUUGGAAUUGAAGACCACAUAGGCAAAAACACCAAAUUGCAACCUCACUUUAAUGAUAAAAAUGGUAAACUACAAAGACAAAAAUGACGUUUUGCCUUAUACAUAAUUGGAAUUUGCUGGUGAUAAUAGUCUACCAUCUUUUGUCGAUUUGCUGGUGAUAAUAGUCUAUCAUCUUUUGUCGGUCCGACCUAAAAAGAAGAAAAAGUUGAUGGCAUCUUGUACCAUUUUUGCCAAUGUGGGCCCAAACAAUUUGAAGAAGUCCACCGGCAAUUUCUCAAAAGCUAUUGUGUGAGUGUGAAGCUAAACCAAUAUUAUUUUGCAUAUACGACUCCACAUCCCCAUGUGAUGUGAGGCUACAAAAGUGUUUCCAAAACGAAAUAUGAUAUUUCAAAACGAAGCUAUGUAUAGAGUCAUUUGUAUUUGCUUUCACAAUAACAUUUGAUUUGUGAAAGCAUUUUAUAUUUAUACAUUCUGAUAUUCUAACAAAUAAAUUGACUAAAUUUGGCCAACAGGAUUUAGCCGAAUAGAAAAGUCCUUAUUUAUAGACUAGUGGUUUCAAAUUUAAAGUUUAGACUAUCGCAUGUAUUUAAAAAAAAAAAAACAAUUGGCUUAAUUUGAUAUAUUUCCUUUUUUUCCUUUUUCAUUUUAUACUGGGUGCCGUUAUUAAGUUUUAUCCUUAUUUUUUGUUGAAAAGAAAAUUGAAAAAAAAUAAUAAUUCCUACAGCUAGCAACUUCUCCACCUUCCCUUCUUCGCAACUAGGGAUGCCAUUGCAAGGUCACCAUCUCAGAUUAAGUCCUCCUUUUAAAAUUGUGUCGUUAUUCAGAAUUGGAAUAUAAUCCUGUACCACUUUGGCCACUUUUGAAGAUGUUCACCGACAAUUUCUCAAAAGCUAUUAAGCUGUACAUCCACAAUAUUAUUGCAUCCAUCCCCAUGUGAGGCUACAGAAAAAUUUUGAAAACGAAACUGGAUAUUUUAUCUCUAACAACAGCUUUCAUACUUCGUUUACCCUGUGUUUCCAAGUUGUGCUAGCUAUUUGCAAACCUUGGAAUAUUACUUCAUCCAAAUCCCUUGCAGAGAAGAGCAAGAUAUGGCUUUGAUCGGAGAAGCCCUCAUCUCCGCUACCAUCCAGACGUUUUGUGACAAAAUUGCUUCGCCUGAGUUCACCGACUUAUUUCGGCAGAAAAAGCUCGAUGAACAACUCCUCAACAAGCUGAAGACGACGCUGUUGACCUUGUCCGUAGUGCUUAAUGAUGCAGAGGAGAAGCAAAUUAAGGAACCUUUAGUGAGAGACUGGCUUGACAAUCUCAGACAUAAUGUCUUGGCUGCGGAGGACUUACUGGAUGAGAUCGACACUGAAGCUUUGCGAUGCAAGCUGGAAGAAGGUGAAGGUCAAACCCACAAUUUAACCAAGAAGGUACGUGAUUUUUAUCAACGCAUGAAUGUUGAGAUGAAAGAUUUAUUAGAAAGAUUAGAACAAUUUGUACAAGAGAAAAGUGCUCUUGGUUUGAGAGAAGGUGCUGGGAGGAAGGUUUCACAAAGAAGAACAACUUCCUUGGUUCAUGAACCUUGUGUCUAUGGUAGAGAUGAAGUCAAAGAAAAUCUGUUACAAAGAAGAGGAUUUGCCGUCAUCUCUUUCUCAUCUGAGUAUCUCGCGGUGUCCUGCCCUGGAGAAAAGGUAUAAGAAUAAGACGGGACAAGAUUGGGCAAAGAUAUCUCACAUUCCUUGCAUCAAGAUAGGAUACGAACUGAUCAUAUAAUAUGAGCUAUUCCAUAUUUCACUCUCAACCCUCAACUCUCAAAUCAAAGUCAGGUGAGGUAUGUGCCUUCUCUUACUUUAAAAAACUGCUUCUCUUCUUCUAAUUGAAUACAAAAACCAAAACACAUAUUCUCUUUCUCUUCCAAAAACCCAAAUACAUGUUGAACAUUGCCAAAUUUGAUCUCCAAAUUCCUAAUUAUUUCACGCUUUUUGUUAUUUUGUUGCUUAGUAAAUUAUGGUUGCUGGUCACAAAUUAUAGUCUGUUAAUAGGUUCAUGCCAUGAAUUAAUCUUUGGACUUUCCCAGGUACUGCAGGUUUGUUAUUAAUGUUGUGGCCUGAUAUUCGUCGUAUCAAUAGGUUGUCUUACGUUGAGGAGAGAGAUCGAUCAGCAAUUACAAAAUUGUUAGUGAAUUUAGCUUGUUUAUCAUCUCUCUCCUUUUGUUUGUUAAGUUUGGUUGUUCUAGGUUAAACCCUUGUCCCCGCAUUUCACAGCAACUCUAUGUUAUUCCACUCUGUUUAGUUUCAUUUAUGUUGUGAUUCGACUGCUGCUGUAUUUUAGAUUUCGUUCAUGUAAUGCUAGGAUGUUUAAUCUCUUAUCUGUGGUGGUAGUUGAGUAGUCUAGCUAAUCCAAUGAUAACUUGUCCCCUGUUUUGUAUUGUUUUUAUUUCUCUGGUAAUGAAAGCACGUUUCUUAUAAAUAAAUAAAAAAUAUUUCAUUGAUAUUCAUUGCUUAUUUUGAACUGCAGAAGCCUACUUUUGUCAGAGUCAGUAGAUGCCAGAAUGAAGUCAUUGCCUAAACACAUUGGCACCCUCACAGCCUUCGACAUUUUGGGAUAUAUGAUCUUCAAAAUCUUGUGUCAUUUGCCUCCCAACCUGCAAUAUUUUCAUAUUUUAAAUUGUGACAGACUGAGCCCUUUGGUGGGAGAUUACUGGGGUUUGCAAGGACUUGGUGGCAAUAUCUUGUAGACGUUUCUCAAGGAACAGCUGCUCAAUACCACUCUUCACACUCUAUAUAUUAUGGCCUGUCAGUCUAUAAUUCCUGCCAGGAGAGGAACUUGAACGCCUCUCUUCGCUGCAAAGGCUACAUAUUUGUGGGUGUGACAAUAUCCAAUUCCUGCCAGAAGAGUGUUUGCUGCCAUCUCUUUCUUAUCUGUGCAUCAACCAUUGUUUUGCCAUGUAGAAAAGGUAUCUCACAUUCCUUGCGUCAAGAUAGGCGAAGAAGUGAUCAUAAGAUAUGAGCUCUCUCUCCCUCUCGCUCACAUACAAUGUACUUAACACAAACACUCAAUCUGAUUUCUAUUAUUAUUUUGCUCAGUAAAUUUUGUUUAAAUUUGCUUUAUUUCUCAUUGCACUUGUUCUGCUGAUCACAACUUAUAUCCUAUUUAAAUCUCAAAUGCUGAAUAAUGAGCAGUCUUUUCGCAGGACAACAUAUCUUCUCUUGGAGAGCUAUUCAUUUGCAAGGUUUCUUUAUGGGUCAUUUCCAGAGGAGGGUUUACUAUUUAAUAGAAAGGUUCACCUGGAAUAUCUCAACUGACACAUUCCCAAAUACAGGCAUUGAAUGCACAACAUUUUGAGGUACUAUUUUUGUAAUAAAAAUGUACUUGAGUCUCAUUUGAGCUAGUUUAAAUUGUAUUCAAUGUCUAUGGAUAACCUGUGAGCUUAAGUUGUAAGAUAAAACUCACAGUAUAUUAUUAGGGUUUAGGGUUCAACUGUUCAACAGGUGAGCUUAAGUUGUACUUUCCUAGGUACUGCAUGUAUAUAAUCUUAGUAUCAACACUUGGUCUUAUGUGGACAAGAGAGAACAUUUGAGGAAUUACAAAAUCUUCUUAGUGAAUUAAUGUUGUUUCAGCUCUGUUUGUCAUCCCUCACAUUUUCUUUGUUAAGCCUUGAUUUUUUAUUAGACAUAAGAAAAAAUGCUUUUAUAAGACAGGAGAUGAAUGCUUUUAUAUGUUGAUGUCGUAGUCAGUCUUCAACCACACUCUGUUUUUAGAAUUCAUUUAUGUUACUAGUUGAGUGCUGCUGUAUUUUAUAUUUCGUUCCUGUAAUGUUUGGAUGUUUAGCUUGAGCAGUCUAGCUUAUCCAGUAGAUAACUUGUUCCCUGUUUUGUAAUGUUUUUGUUUCCUCUAAUGAAAGCAGGUUUUACUUAUCUUGAACUGCAGAAGCCUACUUUUUGACAUAGGUGGCAUGGCACAAACUCGCAUCCGCAUUUCCUUCCCCAUUGGCAUGCUGUCUCAUCUUUUGUAUUCUGUUACCAGCUUGAAGCUUGUGUAGACAUGUUAUGCUCUUGUAAUUCUGAUCACAAACAUCACUUGACAAAUGGAAAGUCACAAUCAGAUCUUUCAGGUGAUCGGGAGGUUUACUUUCUAACAUUUGUUUUCAUUGGGGGGAGGACAACAAUACAGAAUUUAAAAUUUCUGAUAAUCAAUAGUAGUUUGCAUAUAUCAGCUGGGACCUGUAUGACUGUAUUAUGUAAUUAAUUAUUUCUCUUAUUGUUUUGGUACUGUUAAAAGGAGUUAGCCACAAAAUAAAAAAGGAGGCCUCUUAUUUCAUACAAUUUUUCAAAAGUGAUCAUUCAUCCGUUUCUUUUUCAACAAUAGAGGAAUGUAUACUAAUCGUCUGGUCCAUCUGCUGCUUCACUCCCUAGUAGCUUCAUCUCCUGUCCUUUGCUUUAUUUCUGUUGAUGAAUGUUUUGUCUGGGUUAUUUAUUUUCAUUUCAUGUCCAUUGCUUCAUUUCUGUUUGGAUUCUGUCCUGGACUUGAACAAGGGUUAGGUUAGCUGUAUAAUUUGCGGUUUUAUAUACACAACUGUCUACAUUGAUUAAAACCAGCAUUAUUCUAAGGUUCAUUUAGAAUGUAUUAUCACCAAAAUUAUAAAGUAUACUUCUAUUACAAUUAAUUUGUUGAUUCUAAUUUGGACUUGUAGGAACAGACCAAACAUGUUCAUACGUGGCAUUGCUCAAGUCAUCAUCAUUCGGGACAGAGAAUAAGCCUUCAAAUGUCUGCUGAGUCAAUGAACCUUUCUAGAUAUCUCAAGUGUAGUGGAAAUUGAUGAGUUACAAAGGAUUUUUAAACAUUUUCUACUGGAGGCUAGAAAUGCUUCAAAUAAAUGACUGUGUUGCAAUUAUUUUGUAGGAUCAAAGACUCUGCAAAGAGGUAAGAAAGUCAUCAUCAAGUAACUUUGCUCUUCAAACUUUUUAAUUUUAUUUUUAAAUAUCAGUAAUAACUGGGAAAGUUUGCAUUUCCUUAAAUUGCUCAUUCUUACAUCUUUUAUAGUUUGUUGAUCUUGGGCAAGUGGAGAGAGAGGCGUCAAGUGAUACACAACAACCAUUUUCUGUGAGCUGAUUUGAUAAAGAGAAAUGGUAUGCUUUCUUGUCUUAAGCGGUGUGUUCUGCAAUUAUUUGAAACAAAGGAUGCCGCACUUCAAGUUCGAGAAAAUCAGGUAUUUUAGUAUUUUAUUCUGGAGAAAUUUGAUUUAUGUAGAAACUUGAACAUGUAAAUGAGAGAAAAAAAAAUUUAUAUAUAUAUAUAUUAUAUUGUAUAUGCUCUUAAUGAGUUAAUAUGGUGCUUGCUCCUGGUUGGAAAUUUAUGUAGUCAUCUACCUAUGAUCAAAUAAAGAUGAAAAAUAAAAUAAAAUUGAGAGCAUCUUCCUCUCCCCUGCUUUGCUCAUCCCUUGUUCUUCCACUUCAGCCCCACUAUUACACCAUUUUUUCAGCCACAAUUAUAAUAGCUCCAUGAGCAUUAAGUCCUUUUCAAAUUCUGCUGACAUUCAAAAUUGGAAUUGCUGGUGAUAUAUGAUAGCAUCCUUGUCCGACCAAAAAGAAAAAAAAAAAAAGUUGAUAGCAUAUUGUACCAUUUUGGCCAGUGUACGCAAUAUUAUUGCAUCCAACUUUGCAUAUUAACAUCAGUGGCCACAGUUCCAUGAUUUGAGUGCACAGAAAGGUUUCAAAAGUUGUCCCACAAAGAACAGUCGUUCAAAGUGAAAGAGAGUUUUCAAAGCUUAGUUACAAGUUCAUGUUAUUUACAAUAUCAAAAAGCUUUCAUACUUGCUUACAAACCUGUAUUUCCAAGUUCUGCAAACCUUGGAAUAUCACUUCAUCCAAAUCCCCUUCCAAAGCAGGAAAAAUGGCAGCAGCUUUGAUUGGAGAGGCUCUCAUCUCUGCUUCUAUCGAGUUGUUGUGUGACAGAGUUACUUCAGCCGAGUUCAUAGACUUAUUUCAGCAGAAGAAACUUGAUGAAACACUCCUCAUGAACCUGAAGACGACACUGUUGAUUUUGUUUGCGGUGCUCAAUGAUUCAGAGGAGAAGCAAAUUGUGAACCCUGCUGUGAGAGAGUGGCUUAACAGCUCAAGCAUGCUGUCUUUGAUGCAGAGGACUUACUUGAUGAGAUUGACACUGAAGCUUUGCGAUGCAAGCUGGAAGGUGAGGAUGAAACCCACAAUAAUUAACCAAAAAGGAUCUUUUUGAUUGUUUGAAAGGAGGGUCUUGAUGAUUUGAAAGGAGAGGGUUGCUUUAUUUCUGUUGGAUGCUUAAUUAAAUCUUAUUUGGAGUUGAACAAGGAUUAGGUUAGCUGUAUAAUUAGUGGUAAACGCCUUUUUCUAAGGGUCAUUUAGACUCAUAUUACGAUUAAUUUGUUGUUUCUAAUUUGGACUUGUAGGAACAGACCAAAUAUGUUCACACGUGGCAUCGCUCAAGUCAUCAUCAUUUCAGACUGAAAAUCAGCCUUCAAGUGUCUGUUGAGUCAAUAAAACUUUCUAGAUAUAUCAAGUGCAAUGGAAAUUCAUGAGUUACAUAGAGAUUUGUAAACAUUUUGAAGAUUGCAACACCUGCAAGUGAGAUAGGCGGUGACGAAAUCAGAGAUGAAGCCUCUGAUGCCCCUGUUGUUGCAAGUUGCACCUGAGAACAUGUUUUUUUUUCUUCUUUGGGGUAAAAAACUGGCAACAUGUUCGGAGCUGACAAUUCAAUCCCUGAUGAACUAGAGAAGCAAAGCUCCGGUAAGGAAAUUGGUCAAGGUUGUGACAGGGAUGAUUGAUGGUGAAAUGGAUGCUAUUUCUUAUUGCAGCCUGUUCUUAAAGUUCUUGUUGGCAAAUGCAAGAGAUGGAGUAUUUUGAUUGGGAGGAGAGAUAAUGACAUGGCUUGACAAUUCUAGAACAGCCCAUCAUUAAUCCCAGAAAAAAUCCAGUUUCUGCUAAACAAUCACUUAUGGCAAGGCCAACUCUGUAAAUGGAAUUUGUGAUCCCUUCAAAUUGUACACAUUUUUUCUUUUUGAGGAAUUUAAUCAAACAGUAUUCUAAUGCAUUAUGAUGGCACUACACGCUUUUGUUGUAACAAAUUACAAGGAGGAAUUUGGAUUGAGUUUCUUGUAUAAGCACACCUUACACAAAUUUCGUAUAUUUUCUUCCAGCAAGUCUGUCUAUUAAACCCCUUAUUUGAAAUUAAUUGUUAUAAGUUUUGAUUCAUCUUUAAUCAGUGUCUUCCCCUUGUUGAAUAACACUCCUCUUUCUAAUUUAUAUUUGAAGUUUGAGGUUUCAAUUUCAAUUGUGGGUUUUGAUUUUACAGAUUUUGUUUGUCAAUUUCAGUUUGGACAAAGCAUAUGCAAUCAAAGUAAGCAUUUUAUGUUAUACUUUUGAACUAGGUGUUGAUUUGAUUUAAUCAUAAGUUUUGCUGGUGCAUUUACUAGGCUAAUCAUUCAAUACUUUUGAUCAUAGAACUUCUUUGGUUGAUAUUAUCUUUGUUAAGUUUAACCAUAACUUUAGAGAGGGGACUUAACAGAUUUAUAAUCUCAUCAUUAUAGUAUUAAAAAUUAGAGAUUAUUUAAGGCAUUGUCUAUUAUCUGAAUUCUGCUUACUUUUAGUUCAUAUGUUUACAUCUUAGCAUAUUCAUGUGAUUAGUGCGGCUCAUACCACAAAGGCAAUUUUAGGCUCAUCAAGUGCUAAGCAAUGUCAAGCUUCCAAGUGACAAGUUCUCUACAUAGUUUGAGACCUACACUUACUAGAUAUUAGAUCAUUUGGAUCAUUUCCAUAUGUGUAUAUGUAAUUGACAUGUUAUAACAUUUUUGUAGCGUUAUAUAAUUAUUUAGCAAUUUAAUUAUUUCUUUGCAACUUUAUUUUUUUUGUCAGUCAUACUAUUGUUGACUGCUAAAAACCAUCAAGAAAUAGUUCUUAAGUUAUAAAAAAAAAUUAUAAAAAAAAAGAUUUGUUGAUGCUUAAAAAGCAUCAAGAACAGAUAGUUUCUUGACGGUUUUGUGACGUUUCAUAACUGUAAGGGGCUUUUUCUUUCGACAGCUGUAAAUGGGCUGGGCUGCCGUAAAGGUCAAGACUGAUGAAAUUGUCCCUUUUUGUCUGAGCUCGAAAAUUAUGCCCCAAAAUACUUUGAAAGGGCAGCAGAGCCUUAGGAAGUAUUUUGGUUACCCUCACCAACUAAAACAACAACAACUUACAGGUAAUUUCUUAAUGCUUACAGAUGAACUCUUGUGCUUGGCAUGAGUGACAUGUGGCAUGGAAGCAAAAUCAACAUGAGUUUAGCACUGAGGCGAAAUUUAGGCUCUCUUGGGGGAAAAAGGGAAGUGUUAAGGUGAGAGAGGAGAAGUUUGUAGGAGAUUUAGCUAAGAAAGGAGAAAUAUAGAACAAUGCUCUUCUGGCAACUUGACAGAUGCUCUGUCUGCCAAAAAAGGAAGAUGGAGAAGAAAUGUGAAUAGUGCACGAAUUUGCUAGAUUUUUGCAGGUAAGAGAGGAAGCUUGCCCUAUGGGUCUGAGUUGAGUUUUGUUGGGUGGAAGAGACCUCAUUUUAUAGCCCCUGGAAACCAUCACUUCCCAAGAAACCCUAAUGGCUUCUACCUAUUUUGGCCAAGCUUUUCCCUUCCUUUCUCAUUUCCUUCCUUGAGUUUACCCCUUUUGAUGAAAUCCCAUCUGCCUAUUUGCACCAGAUCAAAGUUUUUUGAAGCUCAAGGCCCCCAUUUUCUUGCAGUUGUCUCAAUGGGAGACUUCCAUUCCCAGUCAUUCUCCUUUAUUGCUUUCCUUUCUUUUUUUCAUGGCCUAGUCUGGUGGGGAAAGGAGUUGGGAUAUAUAUGCUGGUUUGAAGGGUGCUUCUCUUCCUGACAUCUUACACACUAAUACCCCUUGGUUCCUUGAAUGUUUUGGCUUUGAAACUUGCUCCCCCCCUCCCCCCAUGUACUGGAACCUCCCAGCAGCUCUGUUCAAUGAAUUUUCAGACCUUUUCUUCAUGGCUUUUAUUUUUUUAUUAACUGGCUGGAGCUUUUGUGGCUCAUUGUGGCAAUUGUAUGGGCUAAGGUGGUUCAUUAAGUAAGUGAGCUAUUUUUAUUAAACAUUGGGCUUUUUGGUUGAGUCACUAGGCUAUUUUGAUUGGGCUAUUGGGCUAUUUUUUCCUUUCUUGUACUCACCCACAUGUUUGGACCAAAGAAAUGAGCUUGAGUCCUGAGGCUCCCAAGCGACCCGAGACUUUCCAUUUCUCGGCCCAUCAAUGGGCCUCAUGUUGAUUUAUUACCAUCCAUACCACAACCCACUCAAGCAAGCCCCGGGCAUUUGAGUGGCUUGGGCCCACUUAGGCUUGUAGUGUGGUUGGGUGCGAAAUGACGAUUUCGUGCUUGGCAUGUUUUAAUUUUAUCAUCCUUGGGAAAGGCUGCGAUGUUUGAUUUCGGCAUGGGCUUGUAGAGCUGGUAUGCUUUAUUUCAACUCUAGCAUGACGAAUUAUUUAUUUAGCAUGGCACGUGAAUUACAACUCGCAUGGGGUGGGUUUUUGUGUACUACACCUUACGCCUCUUCUUAAUAGAACAUCGUUUUGGGCUGAUAAUUUAUUCGGGCCCAACUGUGAAUUUUUUGGGUCUCAAUAAUAACCAUCAUAAAAUAUUACAUUUUGACUGACGUCAAGAAAUGGGGUAUCCCUUUCCUGAUAGUGGCAUCCAUGAUGCCUUCCAAGCCGUCAAUUAAGGGCUAUCGUGAUGCAUUUUAGUUGUCAGCAAAAGGUGUUUUUCUUGUAUUGUAUUCACUCAAAAUCAUGUUUCAUUUAAGACUAGUAGUAUGGUUGAAUACCAUUUGUUUUGUUAAAGAAUAUUAUACAUUAGGGAUUUUUGUAGAAAUGUCAUUUGAACUUAUACCUUAGUUUCAAUUUGUUACCUUGAAGAAAAAUUUAAGAGAAAUGUCACCUUAAUUUUUAAAAAUCCAUGAUUUGUUAUAUGACUUUAAGAUCAUCCAAUUUUCCAUCCAUUUUAAGGGGAUUUUAGUCUUUUCAUUUUCAAGGAAAAAAAAGAGAUGAAAAAAGAGACAUCUCUCUUACUUUGUUGCCCAACCCAACCCAACCCCACCCGCCCCCCAAAACCACAUAGGAUUGCCUCCCCUUUCCCCACUUUUCUUUUUUCUUUUUGUCCUACUUUUCCACUGUGUUUAUGUUGAAGGAUCUAAAGUUUGCUUGGUCACCAUCUGUUACGUAGGCUUCCCAAUUGUUGGUUUGGGUGGGUUGUGGGAAUUUGUGUGUGGAGGGCAAGACCCUAUCUGACAGGACCUGCCUCGAAUUCCUCGAAACCCGAGACGAAUCUUGUGGAAUUCCCGACAUUACACCGAUGUCGGGCCCACUUAUGAACUAAAUCCUCCUUUCCAAAAUUAAGGAAAAAGAGUACGAGGCUUUCUGCCGAAAUUGCGGCAGUGUCUUCCUUAUAAAUUUAACAUUUCAGCUUUGGUGGCCAUUCUCUCAUUUUAGCUUUGGUGGCCGGAUGAGAGAACGGCCGGCUAAAACGUGGCCAACUGGCAUUGCCGUCGCGAGAGAGGAGAGAGAGAGAGAGAUUUUUAUCAAACCAUUUUUGCCAAAAUUACGAUUAUGCAACUGAGGGUAUUUUGAUCGUAUCUUUUUUGUUAUAACUCCGAUUCAAGCUCACUACAUGCCUAUGGAUUCAUCUCGCCGUGCUUUAUGCAAUUGUAUAGUUGAAAUUCCCAAAUUCCAUCCCAGUCAAAAGUCAACUUUAAACCCUAUAAAAUAUUCUAGGGGAAGAAUGGUCUUUUAUCUAAUUAAAUUAAUAAUUGAAAAUUUAUUUAGGAUCGGGUCGUUACACUGUCGUUGAUGGACUGUGCGAUGACACUCACACAAAGUCCUUGAGAAUAAAACACACACACACCGUGAAGAGAGUAAAACAAAUACACAAGUACACAAAGAUUUAUAAAGGUUUGGCCUCCUGCCUACGUCCUUUUGGUGAUCCACCCGAGAAAUUCACUAGUAUGUAAGAACAACUUUGGUUACAACUAAACCCCCUUAGCUUUCAUAAGAACCCUAGAUCUCUUUUCUCCCACCCUUGCUCCAACCCUUUGAUGCCCUUGUAAACACUCAAGAAUUCACCCUUGAAUUCUGUCAUGUGUUACAUCUUCUCUUCUCCCCUUUGUUAACCUAACCCUAAAAGUUAUAUUUAUAAUUCAUAGGACUUUAAGUACAAGUUAACUAGGAAUAGGAAACAUAAAAGACCCCCAAAAUUGGAGAAAAUAUGUCUAGAUCUCGUUAGGAAAUUGCACAACACGUGCGAUCCGCUCGAGCGCCUGCAAAAUCAUCCCUUUGCCGCUCGAUCUGCCGAUAGCUCAUGGGAUGGGGGAAUUAGAGAUUUUUUUUUUUUCAAUUUUAAUUGUUUAAAAGAUAUACAAUUUUUUAAUAAUAAUUUUUCCAUUUUUAAAAUACCCUUGAAAAUAGAAAGAUUAAAAUGCCCUUAAAAAUGGAUGGAAAAUUGGAUGGUGUUAAGAUCAGAUGACAAAUCAUGGAUUUUGAAAAAUUAAGGUAACAUUUCUCUUAAAUUUUUCUUUAAAGUGACAAAUUGAAAUUGAGGUAUAAGUUCAAGUUACAUUUCUGCAAAAAUCCUUAUACAUUAUGAUAUUCUAACAAUAAAAUUGGCUAAAAUUGAUAUGUUCCCUCUUUUAUUUUCUUUUUCUCUUUUCCUUUUCAUUUUAUGAUCCAAUCCUUUUCAUAUAUUUUUGUUCAAGACUUUGUUUUAGAAUGCUCUAUUACUAAUUUGGUACAGGUCCCUAAAAUCUCAGAGCCGCCUUAGUACAUUCAUAACGUACAUGUUCAGAGUUCAAGAAUAAUGUAUAGAAUGUGAAAUUGACGAUGCCGGCCUUUAUGAGGCAACGUCUUUAUUUCUUUGGUUAUUCCAGUUUAGAAUAUUUGCACAAAUGAGAUGACUCCAAGCAUAAAGUCACAUUCGACCAAAAAGCAUGAAGUCACACACAAAAAGAACACGGACAAUUGCUAAGUUUAUCCUUGUACCCUUAUUAUCCGACCCAAUUGAAAAAUAAAAAAAGAUGAUAAAAAAUAUUGUUCACUGCUUUAAAAUCUAUGAGUAGAGUCCUCCAUUUGAAAUUUCGUCAUUAUACAAAAUUGGAAUGAAAAAAGAAAAUCCUACAGCUAAAUUUGAUAUAUUUCCUUUUCAUUUUAUGCUGGGUGUUAGGGCUCGUCAAUGGGCCGGGCCAGGCUAGCCCGGCCCAAAUUUAAUGGGCUUGGGCCAGGCUGGGCCAGGCUUUAAAGAGGAGAGAGAAAAUAUCAGGCCGAGUUUUUUAAGAAAAUUCAAAGCCCAAGCCCGACCCAUGAGCCCGGCUUGAGAAAGCCCAUCGGGCCGGCCCGGGCCUAAACAGGCCCUACUUCGUUAAAAAAAAAUCAUAAACUUAAUCAUAAGGUCAUUUUAGUCCAAAUUUGAGAUUAAACUCACUUAAUUCCAAUAUUUUCACUUCAAACCAAAUUCAUAAAACACCCAAUAAAGUCACACAGCUUGUAAGAUUUUCCACAAAAAUAAUAAAACCAAGUACUAUUUUUGAGGUUAUUACAUAAUUAGAUCGUAAUAUGUUUUAAGAAAUAAUUUUAAAAAAUAAUAUUAAUAAGUAUCAAAAAAAUAAUUUUUUAAAGGAUGGUAUGAAUAAAUAUGCAAAUAUUUGGUGAUGUGUUCAAGAAAAGGAUGAUUAUAUUUGGUGGUACGAUUAUGUUUCGUGAUAUGAUUAUAAUUAGUGAUGUGAUAUGUUGUUCAUCUUAUAUAUAUAUAUAAUUGUUGAAUUAAUAAUUGACACAAAUUAAUGUGUUAAUCAUCCAAUUAUAAACUAGGAAUGAAUAAAGAAAAGUAAAUGAAAUGAAACAAAUUAUAUAUGUGAUUUAAGUGAUAUAAUCCUAAACCUAAACUCUUAUUUAUACAUAAUUAUAUAUGUAUGCGGGCCUAACGAGCCGGACUUUUGUGGGCGGGUAGGGCCGGGCUUUAUUGGGCUUAAUCGGGCUUUAUUGGACUUAAUCGGGCUGGGCCUAUAGGUCGGACCGAGCUUCAGACAUCCAAGCCCACGCCUAGCCUCGCCCGCCUUGGGCCGGGCCAUUCUUUUUUUGGGGUUCUAUUUCUCUUUGAAUUAACUGCUGAGUUUCAUGAACAUGUCCUCCUUUUGAAAUUGUGUAUUAUUCAAAAUUGGAAUUUGCUGGACAUACUUGAUAUUUUCGUGAGUAAAUUCUGAUUUGGUGGUUGUGCUCGUCACAAAUCAAUGAAAUGACAGCAGUGAUUUUGCAAGACAGCGUACCUUCUCUUGGGGUGCUUUUCAUUUUGCAACAUUUCUUUACGUGUAAUUUCCAGAGGAGGGUUUAUCAUUGUAUACAGCUCUUCGGGUGGUUUUUCUACAAAACAAAUGUCACAAAGAAGGAGGAGAAGCGGAAAAGAUUUACUUGGAAUGUCUCAAGUCUCCUUUGAGAUAAAGGCAUCGAAUGCACAACAUUGUUUUUGUGCUAUUUCAUAAUUAAAGUGUGCUUCCCAAGUCUCCUUUGUGUUUUGUAACUUGUAAUGUUUGUUUUUUUGUUUCCCAUGUUUUGUCUCUUAUAAAAGAAAGGCUUUUUAUCACAAAUGGUCCUUCAGGUUUACAAAAUUAUCACAAAUCGUCCUUCAAGUUUUUUUGUGACACUAAUAGUCCUUCAGGUUAUCAUUUACCCAUCAAAAUGGUCCUUCUGUCAGUUUCUGUCAAAACUGACGUUAAAUUCCUGUGCUCAGCCUGCUUUUGAAAUGAUAAUCUCAUCUUUUCCACUCAACCUUCAACCAAACUCAACUGUCAGAACCCUUUCCCUCCAUUUCCUCAUGGUCCUUCCAGUUUGGCGCCCCUGUAAUAUAUAACCAAUCUUAAAAAUUAAACUUCUGAAGAAAUUGAAACAAUCCAAGCUCAAGAGAAAGACCAACAAUUGAGAACUGCAGAGAAAGAUCAAACUCAUGGAUCAAUAUGGUAAAGCCAAAUUGAAAAACAUAAUUUGCUAAAGAUAAAGCCAAACUGAAAAACCAAACUGAAAAACAUAAAGAUAUCAUUGACAAAUAUAAAAAGUUAAAAAAUAUUGCACAAUCAAAAUACAACCACAUGUUUCACAAAACAAAACAAAACAACCACAUUUGCAGACAAGCUGUAGUUUACACUUUAACAAAGAUUAAAAAACUAACCUGUAUACUUUGGUUGUUUCCCCCCCUUUCGAAAGAACUCCUCGGACUCAUCCAUCUAGUCACUUUUGUAAGAAGAAUAAUGCGUAUUUGACUCUUACGAACCCAGAUAUUCCUUUUGCAGACCAGCUUUAUCAAUUAAAAACCCAAAAAACCUUAAUUGUGCAGGGCCCGAGGAUGAAAUGGAGGGAAAAGGUUAUAUAUGCGGUUUAGAGCGCCAAAAUGGAAGGCCCGAUGAAGAAAUGGAGGGAAAGGGUUAUUUCAGUUGGGUUUGGUCGAAGGUUGAGUGGAAUGAUGCGAUUAUCAUUUCAAAAGGCAGGCUGAGCACGCGACUUUAACGUCAGUUUUGACAGAAACUAACAGAAGGACUAUUUUGAUGGAUAGAUGUUAAACUAAAGGACUAUUAGUGACACAAAAAAACCUAAAGGAUGAUUUGUGAUAAUUUUGUAAACCUGAAGGACCAUUUGUGAUAAAAAGCCUAAAAGAAAUACAGGUCCAAACCACACGGAUCUACUUGCAUAAUAAUGGACCAAAUUUAUGAUUUUUAGAAAGAACCUUCUACUGGUGGAAUCUUGGGCUACUGUUGUGGCUCUCCUCUGUGUGCCUCCUUUUUAGAACGAUAAAAUAUUCAAAAUACCAGAAAAUGUUCAUGAUUAAUGCAAAUAUUAAGAAUUGAAAUUAUUAAUUAAAUGAAGAUAAUAUGGUAAAUUCACACUUUUUCAUAUUAAAAAAAUUAAAAUUAAAAGAAAUAUCAGAUAAUUACUCUUAUUUUUAUGGAACACAGCUACCCAUUAUCUUUUUUAAUUAUAAAAUAAAUUUAAAUUAAAAAAAAAAUCUCUCUCACAGACACGGAAGCGCGUGCUCAGAGGCUAGUUAAAAAUAAUGAACUUUGCUUUUGAAGACGUCUAUACCAGACCCACUCAACCUGCUUUAUGAUUAUGCAAAGAACAAACUCGUCCUUAGACUCAUUUGGUUAAACUUAGAAAAUAAUGAAACAAAAAUAUACACACCCACAAGUAACACAGCCAGGAUUGAAAACAACUGGAAAAAGAAAGGCAUGUCAAAACAAAAUUUUCAACAACUCAUCACCAUUAGACAAGAAAAAGAAAAAUCAAUACAGAAACAGAAAGAACAGAGAAUAAAUGUGGUGGAAGAAAAACGUUGAAGCCAUUUGUGAAUCCAACAACACUACCACUCUGUUUCUCUCCUUUUGUUCAGGCGGAUCUGCAUAUAUCCUAAGGCGUAUUACGGAAACAACUUCUUGCGGUUAUACUUGAAUGUUGUGGAUGCUUCAACGUUGCCAUCUGGGUGGAGUGGAUUUGUCCAAUUCACCUUCACUAUGGUUAAUCAACUAGACAGACAUAAGUCAGAAACAAUAGGUAUAUACGUCCAAAUUGUUGUUAUUUGAAAGGUUCUAAAUUUUAACAUUUUGUUGUAAAUGUGGAGAGAAAAAGUAGAGAAUUGGAAUAGAGAGGAGAGACUGAUUUUCUCAUUCAUAUGUUCAGAUGAAUGUCUUCAGUGUAUAUUUUACAAGUAGGGGGAGGUAUCUAUUUAUAGGCUAAGGUUUUGGUAAAAUACAGGGAAGGAAAGUUCCUGGAAGAUGCAAGGAAACUUCCUCUGUGGGCUCCACCUUCAAACUUUUACAACACUCCCCCUUGGAGACCACAAAUGAUAUGGAAUAUGCCUCGUUAAAAACCUUGCCAGUAAAAACCCAGUGGGACAAAAACUGGUCAAAGGGAAAAAGAGUACAUAAUGAUGUGUAACAUAAAAUUCUGUGUAUAUUGACGCGCGUGCGACACUGCCUCGUUAAAACCUUGCCAGGAAAAACCCAGUGGGAUGAAAACCUGGACGAAGGAAAAAGAGUACAGUGUUUGAAGAUCUUUAUUGAUAGCAUGCUCCCCCUGAUGCUUGGUAAAAUAUCUUUAAGUCAUACUGUUGAUCACCUUUCUGAAUAUCGUAGUUGACACUGCUGCUGUGAGUCAAUCUUGAGCGACACUGCCUCGUUAAAACCUUACCAGGAAAAACCCAGUGGGAUAAAAACCUGGAUGAAGGAAAAAGAGUACAGUGUAUGGAGGUCUUUAUGAAAAACCACGCUCCCCCUGAAAAAUAUCUCCCCCUAAAAAAUUUCAUGACUAGCUUUUCCAGUAUGCGACCAUAGAAAUUUUCAUAGUAUACUCUAAACCCUUGAGCGACACUGCCUCGUUAAAACCUUACCAGGUAAAACCCAAUGGGAUAAAAACCUGGAUGAAGGAAAAAGAGUACAGUGUGGAGCUGACCUCUAUCUGGUCUAGUAUACUUCCGGAAAAACAUUUAAGGUGUCCAACGGAUAAUCCUCAUAAAAAUGCUUCAAUACUUUCUUAGUAUAAGCAAGAAUCUCGUUGGCAUAAUGCUCGAUCUUUAAGUCGAGACAAAUAUUUCGUGACUUCUGCAGAAGCUUUAAUGUGUUGCAAACACAUUAUAAACAAUGUACUCACUGAGGUAAUUUAUGCAUAUUAAUAUUGAGUACAAAUUUUGUGCUUCAAGCACAUGUCCUUUAGGGACUUGCUUUAUGCAAUGUCAAUCCUCUCAACGGAUUUUGUUUAAAAGGGGAUUAAACUUUAUGACACAUUAUAUAGCUUUAACCCAGCUAUUUAUACAUCUUUAGGGAAUCACUUCAAGUGAUAUGCUCUGUGCAUUUAAUAACCCUUAAAGAUAACAUGUUGGUCUCCGUAAUUGUGCAGUAAGGGGGGAGGCACAAUUGAAUCUGUAAAUAUGGAAAAGACCCAACAUUCAUUGUUUCUGCCAGAAACAUUGUGUCAUACAAAGUAGGUAUAUUCCCUUUUAUUCCGAACACCCAAGUAUAAGUUUCAAUAUUAACAUCUUUUGGGGUUCGUACUGUGGGUUUGUUCUUUCACGUUCAUUCUCAUCUAUAAUGGAAUUACCUCUUUCCAUUUUGGCCAAUGAUAUUGUCGACAUCUAAUAAUUGAACGUGGUUCCAAUCAACACAGCCCAUUGAUGAUUUGAGUAGCUACUCCAAAACCAAAAAUUGUCAUUCAUCAAUUCAUUAUCCCACCAUUCUCAUGUGCAUGCGCAUGCAUCAAUUAUAAGCAUUUCUUUGCUUUUGGGUACCCAAGCCACUUCAGGGGGCUUUUAUUAUGUGAGAAUGUGGAUUAUAACCUCCAAUGGAGCGUUAUUUUGCAGUAGGGCGUGGAUAAUCUCCAUUUAGGGAGUUGGAACAUUUAGAACCCAUAUAUCUGUCAUGCUGCAGGCAUGCCACAGAUUAAUACAUACAUGUCAAUUAGUUUAUGGGACUUUAACCCAUAUGAUGGGACUUUAACCCAUGUAAUUUGCUACGCAUUCGGCGUGCAUAAUCUCAAUAUUGACAUGUCAAAGGAUUGUCCAUUCGGGACUUCAAUCCACAUCAUUUGCUACGCAAUAGGCGUGCAUCAUAUUGAUCACUGCUAUACCCAUAUUCUGUUCUUAUGGGACUUUAAUCUGUGCAAUGUAUUAUCAAUGUAUCCAACUUGCAAUCUGUAAAAUUUGCAUUAAUAAUACAUGGAUACAUACAAGCCAUUCUUUUGGGACGGACUUAUCUCCCCAUUUGGUUACCUUUCAAUAUAAAAUAUCAAAUAGGUAUAUAAGCAUAAAAUAACACAAGUAUUGCUUACAUCCUUAGGUGGGAGAAACUUUUCUCAAGUAUCGCUUGAUGAUCUUGUUAUAUCCUGCAAGAGCAAAAAUCACAAUUCCUUUCUCUGUCAAAAACAAAUAAGAGGAAUAGGUAGAACCGGUGAAUUUCAAAUUAACCAUAGGAAAAUUGCGAGAUUCUCGGGAUGCUUUUGAAAAAGUAGCUCCGUGAAAUCCGUAAAGCAAGAUUGGCUUUGAAAAUAAUACUUGAAAACGCCGAAAGUGCCGACAGGCAUUAUUAGAGGCCACGUGAAGUUUUGGACUUCUAGGAAAGAAAAAGAUAAUAUGGGGAUUCGAGAAGAUAUUGGGGUCUUGAAAAACAGUAGCCAUAUUUCCUCCUAUAGAUAUGGCCUUUGCAACAAUUGCGCACCUUCUUAAACUUGCACCUGUGGUUUUUACGCCUUUUCAAAAUGACGGUUUGGAACCUUGUGCCUUAUAGGUUCAAAUAACCACAUUGUUUCUCCCAAAUUUCAUAUUUUAUCGCAUGGUAGCCCGAAACUUUUGGCCUGGGCACAAAUUCAGAAUUUAUUUGCCCUUUUCAAAUGGACAUGAAAUAUGAAUUGAGUAAAAGCCAUGAUAAUAUCGCAAUAUAGUAGUGAAGAGCAUUAACUACUAUAUACCCACAACUUCAAGUUCAGGAUCUCUCAUAUAUUUGGAUCCAUGGGUUUCCGGCCCAGAUAUAACAAAAUAUGUGGGGAGCCUCAAUUCAUCAUUUGAGGUUCAUACUGAUAUUAUCCAUUUCACGGUGUAUUCUUGACAACCGGAAUUCACAAAAUAUAUUUCUUCCUUGAAGUGUCGAUUAUAACAAAAUCGAACUUUAAAUUCAUCAUCUUCUUAUGCCAAAGAAAUAUGUGGCAUACCACAAUUUGCAAUAAUACCUCAAGGGUUGUCCAUUUAAUUGUUGGAACUUCAGGUUCUCAACACUGUUAGAUUUUGAACUUCUGGCCAAAAUCACAUAUUCUCAUGGUAUGGACAUUCAAUCCCCUUAGAUUUUGAACUUCGGGCCAAAAUCACAUAUUCUCAUGGUAUGGACAUUUUUACAAUUUUCUGUACAUAUUUCUGGACUUCAAGCCCUUACAUAAUUGUCCAUAUUUUGAGGAACUUCUGGCAUCUCAUUUAAUUGCUCAUCCAUGAGUUUAAGGAACUGCAGGUUCCCUUUUGAAUGGUGAUGGUUUACCCAAAAUGGUAAAUACUUAUGCAUACAUCACUAUUCAUGUAUACGGCACUAUUUAUGUAUACAGUACAUUUGCCAGUACAGUUAUCAUCCAUGUGUACGGCAUUAUGAACAAAUACGGUACUGUUACAUCAUUAAGGAACCCCAUGUCCUUAUUUACAUGUCAGGGAUCAAGGACCCUCAAGUCCGAUCACAUGUUUACAAAUAUAGUACCGGAGAGACUGCCAGCUCUCAUAUUAACAUCAUCAUCAAGGAUCUUCAAGUCCUGAUGUAAUUGUAUGAUGAGGAUCAAAGAACUUCUGGUCCUGAUCUGUAUACUGUAAAAACUCAUCAUACAGCACAUUUAAUCCAUAGAAUAAAUUGCUGGUAAAUAAAUUACUGGUAUGGACGAUAAACUCGCACCAUACUUUAAAUAAAUAUUGCCUUACAUACACUUACAGCAUCAAUAAUUGAUAUCCAUCCAUGAUCCACCUGUAUAAAUGUAUAUAUAUAUAUGUAUAUAUAUAUAUAUUAUUUUUAUUUGGACUUAAACAGAAACAGGCAUUUUCUAUAGCUGUAAGUAUAAUUGUACCUGCCUACGCUGAAGAUUCCUUUCAUUGUUGCAGGAUGGUGGGCAUUCAGUUUAAAUAAAGCAAACACACACAUUUCAAAUUUUAAUUGAAUUUCAAAUUAGCAGUUUACUUACAUGCCCAUCCAUGACGUAAAAAGCAGAGACAAGUGAUUGUCUUUCGACAAUGACAUGAUAUCACAGUAGUGGGGAUAACGCUAUGAUAUUGGCCGAUCGGCUUCGCUGUAUCCCUGCACACCUUUAAUAAUUAUAUAAUAUUAAAAUAAUAUAAUUAUGUACCUGCACUAUAGACCUGCAUCUUAAGCUUCUUCCCUUUAUGGGGUCUGCCGCUUUGCCUUUUGUUUCCUUUGCUUUGCUUUCCACUGAAGCAAGUUGGCCAGCACCAAUAAUGCCGCCCACAAUGCAAAAAUCAAGUUGGCCAGCACCAAUAAUGCCGCCCACAAUGCAAAAAUCAAGUUGGCUACUUUUGCCUGUUGCUUUCUCAAUUUCCUCCACCCUUUCAUUGUCUUUUCUUCUUUCACUACUUCUCAUCUUCUGCCUCUCUCUUGCCUUUUUUUUUUCUUUUUUUUUUUUUGUAUUCGAUUUUCUGGCAAGCCUCCAAAGACAGCAACGACCAAGUUGCCUUGUCAUGGCUGGCGGCCAUUGCAAAAGCCUUUUCCAUGAAGAAAUGGACUUGGACACGAGGCUGGUUGAUUAUGUAGUUGGAGAUGAAGAAAGCAGCUGACAGUCUAGGGAGGGAGCGAACCAGAGAGUUUGUUACUCCACUGGUGUGGUUGGGAGGUAGGGAUCGUCUGUGGUUGGUACAGAGUUUUCUUCCUCAGCUCAAGCAAGGCAAUAGAGGUAGGUUUGUUUGCUCAGCUCAGCUCAACCUGUGCUCUCUGUGUUUGUUUGCUGGGUUAUCUGGGAGAGUAAUUUUCUUCGGGUUCGGUUCUGGUAUGCUUUUGCAUAUAGAAAACAGAGAACCCAGAAAGGAAAUCCAAGAGAGAGACUUUGGUUGAGAAAAUGGCAAUUUUUGAGAAAAAUGGAGAUGCUGAGGUUGGUUGGACAACACCGAAUGGAAGUUGUUGGGCUCGGAGCAGAGAAUUGGUUCUCUAGAUCGGAGGUUUUGUGUGAAAUUUUACUGGCAAGCAAUCCGUGUGGCUCUGUACAAAACUGGGUUGGUUUUGGGUGGGCAAUCUGGGCUUGGUUUCGAACUGGGUGUCUUGAUCAAUUUCUGGGAUCAAGAAAUCAGAGAUUUCAGCCGGUUAAAGACUCGUGCUGAUAUCGUGUUGUAAAUGUGGAGAGAAAAAGUAGAGAAUUGGAAUAGAGAGGAGAGACUGAUUUUCUCAUUCAUAUGUUCUGAUGAAUGUCUUCAGUGUAUAUUUUACAAGUAGGGGGAGGUAUCUAUUUAUAGGCUAAGGUUUUGGUAAAAUACAGGGAAGGAAAGUUCCUGGAAGAUGCAAGGAAACUUCCUCUGUGGGCUCCACCUUCAAACUUUUACAACACAUUUUGAUUUUUAAAUUUUGUUUUAAUAUUUCGGCCCACUUAGUUCUUCUCAAAAUAUGUCAUCAAUAUCGUUGAAAGGUUGAACUUAGUGAAUUAUUAUAGUGCAGUACGGUAGAAUAAGCACAUGAUAUAAUUUGUCCACAUGUUAUAAUAUAAGUGAAUAUUUAUUGAUAUUAUUUCCAAAAAUAAGAAAUAUCAACAAUUAUAUCCUCCUAUAUUAUAAUACAUAUACAAAUUAUACCACAUUAUCAUACUCUAAUACCAUUUUAUAAUUUCUCGUACUUAGGAGGUAUAGAGCGAGUCAAUGACAUUACAUAAUAUAUAAUUGUUCAUAUAAUGGGGCAACUAACGUGAUCAACAAGUUGUGGUGAUUAAUUUAACAUAAUAAAAAAUAUACCAUUUACUUGAGUGAUGUAACAAUUUGUUCUUUUAAAUUGGAUUGCCAUCACUUUAAUAUGUUAUGUUUCUUAUUAUAGUCUCCCAUGUUAAGUGCUUCAGCAUUGUUUGUGGUGUGUACACAAAUUUUCUUAUAAAAUGUUUUAAUGCUUCUCACAUGUAUAUCAGAUAUAGACAGUUGAUGUGACUUAGAAAUCAAAUUGUCAAUAAAACAAAAAAAUAUAAUUGGUGAUCGAGGUCCAAUUUAAUAGAAAAUAGUCUUAACUUGCAUAUUAAAGGUCUUAUAUUCGAAUCCUCACUGCAUUAUUGUUGUAUGCGUACACAAGAAAUUCUCUUCCCCAAUAAUUUAGACUAUCACUUAUACUAAAAAUAUAUAUAUAUAAUGACUUUUACGAAUGCAAACAUAAAAUUACAUCAAACAAUAAUCACUACUACAAAAAAGCAAAAAGACGACGGUAAAUCACCGUCGUGUAUUGGGGUUUUCAAUGGUCGUGGAAUCCACCGUCAUCUUUUCCCUCAUAAACCACGACGCUAAAUAACCGUCGUUGUUAAAAUAUACAACGUCAUCAACAAAUACAAAACGACGUCUUUGUACUGCAAAAAGAUCUAAAAAAAGCAAUCGAGGAUGAUAAUAGACGACCAACUCUCUAAAAAAACCGUCGUUAAAAAGAAAAAAUAUGACACAUAUUAAGAGAACAAGGCCGCAAGAUAGACAUACAACGACGAAAAUAAAAAUACGACGACGUUAAAUAUAAUUUUCACGACAAUAAAAAAUAUGACGUCUUUAAAUACAUUAGAAGACGACGUUAUUGAUACAUACUACGUCGCAUAUAUAAAAACAACCGUCGUAAAAUUAAUUUUCCACUUCGAUUUUUCGAUAAAAGAUGACGUGGAAAUAGUUGUCAGUGUCAUUAUUUACGACGUAUGUGUUUAUAGAUUAGACGUUGAAAAACUAAACAACGUCGGUUACAAAUAUAUGAGAGUCGUAUUACAAAAUUUAUACGUCCUAUUUUCAGAAACAAACAACGACGAUAAAUAUUAGACGUUGUUAAACAAAACAACGUCGGAAAAAUAAAAACAGACGUGUUUAGUCUGCUAAAGUUCUAGAAAAUAGUCGAGGAUGAGAAUAGACAACCAACUCAAAAAAAUCACCGUCGUUAAAAAGGAAAAAUCUGACACAUAUUAAAAGAACAAGGCCGCAAGAUAUACAUACAACGACGACAACUAAAAUACUACGCCGUUAAAUAUAAUUUACACGACAAGAAAAAAUAUGACGUCUUUAAAUACAUGAGAAGACGACGUUAUUGAAAUCUACUACGUCUCUUAUUUACAAAAAACCGUCGUGAAAUAAAUUUUCCACUUCGAUUUUUCUAAAAAAGAUGACGUGGAAAUAGUUGUCAGUGUCAUUAUUUACGACGUACACAUUUAUAUAGUCGACGUUGUAUUUAUAUGUAUUCAUUACUCACGACGCACUUAAUAAUAUAGACGACGUUGAACUUCUAAACAACGUCGGUUCCAAAUAAAUGAGAGCCGUAUUACAGAACAUAUAGACGGCGUAGAUUAUGAUGAGAGCCGUAUUACAAAUAACGUCGUUUAAUUGUUAUUAGACGGCGGUUAUAAUGAAUUUCCGUCGGAAUUCAUUUCGUUCCUCUUCGUUUAUAAAAGAACUUGCGACGUGGAAAAUGUAUGAUGACGUCGUAUUUUUUAACGUUCAGAUUAUAUAUCUCGUUUUUAGACGUCGGUAUUAUGGGAUUGGAGUCGUGUUAUUUUGAAUUACAUGGCGGUUCUUAAUCCUUCACCGACGUGAUAUCCUGAAUAAUUGCUUCACAAUAGCGUCGUGGUUCUUCAUUGUUACGUUGCUUUAAGACGUCGGUAAAUAUGCUGAAUAACUGAUUCACAAUAACGUCGUGUUUUAUUUGAACGUAGAAAGUGAAGAAAUCACAUUACAAUAUAUUACAAAAUUAAUGUCAUACACUGCCAAUUACAUAAGCAUCAUUCAAUCCAUAUAUCUUCACACCCAUCUCGAAUAUUUUGACCGCCUAACUCACCCACCAGUUCAUCAAAUGUGUCAACAUUUGGCAUCCCUCUAGUAAAUGGCUCACACUCAAUUAUCACAUCACCUAAGACUUCAUCACCAAUAACAUCAUUAUAUUCUCUAUUAGGCAUUGAUAACACUACCGACCAACCACGAUGCAUCGGGUCGUCAACAAAAAAUAUUUGUUUGACUUGAGAAGCCAAAACAAAUUGGUCAUUCCUAUGUCCAAUUUUACUCAAAUCUACAAGGGUAAAUCCAAGUUCGUCGACUACAAGACCAGAACUAUCUAUCCAAUCACACCUAAAGACUGGGAUUGUAAACUUUUGGUAGUCAAGGUCCCAAAUUUCUUGAAUGACACCAUAGAAACCCAUAUUUGAGAGAAUUGGGUUUUUAUCCUUGGCACUAGCAACUUGCAUGGUAUGUGCAAGUAAAUAAACUCCACUAUUUUGAGUUGUCCGCACAUCAUCUUGUGCCUUGAUAUUGAAUUUAAUACCUUUAAUAAGAUAGCUCCUAUAUAAUGGCACUGACAUGUUUGGACCAGCUGCUAGCCACCUUAAAUUUUCUGAUACGCCAUGAUUGUCUUCCUCAAGUUCACUUUGAACCUGCAAAUUAAUCAUAUCUUAAUUCAAUCUAACAUAUAAAUAAGAAGAAAAUUAAAAGAGAAAUAUGUUAUUCAACAACAUAUACCUUGAAGCGUAGCCAUUGAAUGAAAGUGCUAUUGUGCUUAUCCUGCAGCCACUUUGUUCUCUUUCUAAAUUUUGGAUAAGCAGUCUUGAUGUGGAUCAUAUGUUGCCCACAUGACACGAAAAAUUCAAGCAUUACGAUCCUAAAUAUAGAAGAUAAACAUAAGAAAUAAUUUAAAAUGGAAACUUAAAGAAUAAAGCUCAUACGUACUCGAUAUAAGGUAGGACUUCCUCCGUAUUCUCCAAGACAUAUAGAUGUGCUUGAUUCAACAGGUCCUGAUCAACUACGCUCACUGUGCAACCUGAUAAUGGCUUUGAAAGCCCCAUCUUUUGGCUUGAAGGCACUCCAACUGUACUAACAUCAGAUAAAUGCUGAGUACAACACUCUACCGCUUCUUCAGCUAUAUACCGCUCAGCAAUGCAACCUUCGGGACGAGUACGAUUCUGAACAUACCCCUUCAGCACUUUCAUAUAUCUUUCAAACGGAUACAUCCACCGAAAAUAUACUGGCCCACAUAGACGAACUUCUCUGACAAGAUGUACUACUAGAUGAACCAUGAUAUCAAAGAAUGAAGGGGGAAAGUACUUCUCAAGCAAACACAGAGUAACUACUACAUCUUCUUCCAACUUAUCUAGCUUGGAAACAUCAACAGUCUUUGCACAUAUAGCAUUGAAGAAGAAGCACAAACGAGUUAUUGCAUACCUUGCAGGCUUCUCCAAAACAGAACGAAUUGCCACAGGGAGCAAUUGUUGCAUUAAGGUAUGACAAUCAUGUGAUUUAAGGCCAAGAAGUCUUGAAUCUUGUAAAGAUACAAGAUUUUUAAUAUUUGAAGAAUAACCUUCAGGGACCUUCAUACCAUAGAAAGAAUUGCAAACCUCUCUCUUCUCUACUCUUGACAAAUUCCAAGGCCCAGGAGGCAAACGAGUACGUCUUUCUCCAUACUCGGGUUGCAAAUCAGUUUUGACCCCCAUGUUCAAUAAAUCUAAUCGAGCAGCAAUCCCAUCUUUAUUUUUUCCAGGGAUCUCCAGCAAUGUACCAAUGAUACUAUCACAAACAUUCUUCUCAAUGUGCAUAACAUCUAGGGCAUGCCUUACAGGAAGGUAUUUCCAAUACUCGAGAUCAAAGAAUAUUGAUUUCUUCUUCCAACAAACUCUGUCACCAUUUUCAACCAUAUGCAGCACUUCUUCUCCGGUUAAUGGCUCGGGAGGUAUGCCAUAUUCAGGUUUCCCAUUAAAAGCUGCACGUUGCCUCCUAUAUGGAUGAUUGAUUGGUAACCAUUUUCUAUGCCCAAUGUAACAAAUUUUGUGGCCAUUUUUCAACCUGUGACUAGGUGUAUCAUCGCCGCAUAUUGGACAAGCUUUAUAUCCUUUAACAACACAACCAGAUAAGUUUCCAUAGGCGGGGAAAUCAUUAAUUGUCCACAUUAAUGCAGCUCUGAGUGUAAAGUAUUCUCCAUUAUGUGCAUCAUACACUCCUCUAAUCCCAUCCCACAAAGAUUUUAAAUCAUCAAUCAAAGGCUCCAAGUAGACGUCUAUAUCAUUUCCGGGUUGUUUAGGACCGAAAAUCAAUAAGGUUAACAUCAUGAACUUUCGUUUCAUGCACAGCCAUGGAGGGAGAUUAUAUGUAACUAAGAUAACCGGCCAACAACUAUAUCUGCUACUUAGAGAACUGUGGGGAUUGAAUCCAUCAGAUGAAAGAGCCAAUCUCAAGUUUCUCGGCUCAUUACCAAACUCAGGCCAUUUAUCAUCAAGAAGUUUCCAAGACGGGGAAUCCGCCGGAUGAGACAUCUGACCGUCAAUUGAUUUUCUAGGAGCAUGCCAAGUCAAACUCUUAGCUGUCUCAUGUGAUUGAAACAUCCUUUUAAACCUUGGAAUUGGAGGAAAAUACCACACCACCUUCGCUGGCACACCCUCUUUCAAGAUUGAAUCUUUGCCUUCCUUCCACCUUGAGAUACCACAAGUAGGACAAUUAGUUGAAUCCUCAUACUCCUUCCUAUACAAGAUGCAAUCAUUGGGGCAUGCGUGCAUUUUCUCAUAACUCAGCCCCAAUGCACACAAAGUCUUUUUAGCCUCAUACAUAGAGGUUGGUAUUGUAUUUCCUUAUGGAAGCAAAUCGCCUUGAAGUAUCAAUAAUUCUGUAAAACAGACAUCACUCAUCCCAUGUUUUGCCUUCAAAUUAUACAACUUCACUAAUGCCGAUAACUUCGUGUACUUUCUACAACCAGGGUACACUGGUUGAUCUCCAUCCCCAAUCACAUUGGCAAACUCAUACGGAUCGGAACCAAAAUCAUUAUCAUCCAUAUCAAUUUCUUCAGACACAAAACUGUACCUACUAUGGCCAUCAUCUUCUUCAACAUUUCUACUAGCAUUAGUAGUUGCUUCCCAAGGUUCUCCGUGAAAUGUCCAAUUCUUAUAGCUUUGGUCAAUUCCAUUAAAGUAUAAGUGAUCCCUUAUAAUUCCAACCCCAAACAACUUCAAAUUAACACAUUUAACACAUGGACAACGGAUAUGUGUUGUAGUUAGAAGAUUUUCUACAGCAAAGUUCAAAAAUGCUUCCACCCCAAACUCAUAUGCCUUCGAUCUUCUAUCCGAGUGCAUCAUUGACUUAUCCAUCUCCGACACUAUAACCUAUUAUCUAUAAUAAAGUGAAAAUACAGGCAAUGACCAUCACUAUAGCAGAUUAUACAAAGAUCUAAUAGCAAGUAAUACACAACAAAGACGACGGGUUUUAAACAAAAACAGACGUAUUUGGCAUAUAUAGACGACGGAUUUUCAACAGACGUCGUCUAAUAUAAGUAAUACAAACGACGGUUUAUGAAAAAACCGUCGUGUAUAAGUAAUACAACGACGGUUUUUUCAUAAACCGUCGUGUAAUCGUCGGCGUAUGCCUAAAAAGGCGUCGUGUCUCAGUUUAUUUUCAAGAACCCAAAACCCAUUAAGAACACAACAUAUAUAUGAAACCAAGCAAGAAAACAACAUAUACAUGAAACCAAGCAUGAAAACAAUAAAUCCAUUCCCAAUUCAACAUAACAUAGGGUGAUUAAAAGAUCCGACAAAAUUAAAUCCAUUCCCAAUUCAACAUAACAGAUAAUGUAAUCCAUGAACCCAUUAAACAGAAAAUCCAUGAACCCAUACUUAUAAGCACAUUAUUAACAGAUCGCAAAGCAUAUACCUAAAACCCUUUAACAAAACAACCUAAUAUCAUUCAAUGAAUUUACAAGGGGAAGAUAGGGUUUGUACUUACAGGUUGGACGAGCUCACAGAUUCGACGGAGCAGAAGUGAGAGAGCAACUUUUAAUUAGAGCAGAAGUGAGAGAGCGAAAUGUUAUGUUGCGCGAAAUCUGAAAAUUUUAGGGUUCAGGGUUAGAAGAAUAAGAAUAAGAGCCAAAUAUAAAAAAAUUUAGGACGCGUGAAAAUUUUUAGAGCGCGCGCUCUUUAAAACUUCGAAAGAAAAACCAUGGCGAAAGUUCUACAAGAACCGACAUAAAUGUAAUAUUCCACGACGGAAACACUGAACGUAACGCCGUUUAUUUUGACGCUUCAUUUUUCGGAUUAAUUUUAAAUUUAUUUUCAAUAUUUUGAUAUAAAGACGACUGAAAAACCACGUCGGGGUUAAGAAAUUGAAAACGUUGUAAAUUAUAAUAGACGACUUACAUAUUAAAAUGACGUCGUUUAAAGUAGAAACUAUGUCGGAUAAUUUACUGCACGACGUAACAUAUGUAUUCCACGACUCAACCACCGUCGUUAACAAUUAAUACCCUAAACCCUUAAAACUAAAUUAUAUAAUUUUAAAAAUUAACUUUAUAAAAGGGUUUAUGGUUUUACAGCCUAAUAUAUACCCUAGACUACCCAAAAAUUAUACUUUAAAAAUAAACCCCAAUAAAUAACAACCCUAAUCUCUAAACCCUAGACUCUAAACCCUAAACCAUAAAACUAGAAGUGAUUUUAUGACUCAUCAAAACAAUUUUGUUUUGGAUGUUCAUUUUAAAUUUUUGUAAUUCAAAAUGAAUUUUUUCAAGGUUUAGGGGGAAGAAAAUAUAUCAAUGACUUCAUAGGAGUUGACUUUGCAUUUUUCUGAUUUAUUUUAAAUUUAUUUUGAAUAUUUUGAUAUAAAAAUAAUAAAAUAUUCUUAUCACAACAACAAACCACGUCGGUGUUGAUAAAUUGUAGACGUUGUAAAUUGUAAUAGACGACUAAGUUGUUAAAAUGACGUCGUUUAAAUGAGAAACGAUGGCGGAUAUUUAACUAUCCGACGUAAAAUAUAUAUUCCUCGACUUAACCACUGUCGUUACAAAGUACUACCCUGAACCCUUAAGAAAUUGAAGACGUUGUAAACCAUAAACGACUCCAUUGUUCAAAGAACGUCGUCUAAAUAUCCUUUUACGCCGGAUUUGUUUAAAACGAAACCACAAAAAACGACGGCUUUUGACUUUAUUACGUCGUUGGAAAAUUAUUACACGUCGGUUACGCAUUUUGUAUGUUUGUUUUUGUUUUUACUUUAAGAAAACCUCAACAAAUUUUUACAUUAUAUAUUAUAGACAAAAUUUGUACAUUAUACAUAAAUAUCAAGUGUUCAAUAAUUCCCCUAUUCCAGUUGAAUGCAAACAAACUCUGCCCAUUCAUUCCGGACUUCAUCAAUUGCUUCUUGGGGGUAUGGCUCUUCCUGUUUUCCCUUCGCAUACUGCAUAAAAACAAUGACUAUUAGGGUUUAUAAAUAAAAGGAAAUUCAAUCACAGACGACCAUAACCGACGUAGUAUAUCUAUUCAACGACGGUAAUUUUACAUGACCGUCGUUGAUAAUACAAAAAACGACGUAAAAUGUUUGAAGGUUAUUUCUUCUUACCUUCUUCUCAAACCCCAAGGAAGGAUCCAUGAUGAUGUCCUUCAUGAAGCGCAUCACGUAAUACCCGCAUUCGACAUUGCUGGGUUGCUUUGGUGUGCCUGACAGGGUUUUCCAAAUGACUGCCUUACGGCCUGAUCUGGCUAUGUGGGAAUUAUAAAUUUUUAUGGCACUGUUCACGAUGUCUUUGGCCUCUUCAUCGACCACACGAUUUCCUGGCAGAGGAUCCAGAAAAUAGACUGUUUCCCUCUUUGCUCUUACAAUCAGCAAGAUCCAAUGACGGCUGCACAAAAUUAAUAUAAAAACGACGGUUAUUUACAAAAACGACGUAUUAUAAUAUUUCACACGACGAAAUAAAGUAGCAAUCGACGACAUUAUAUAUUUAUAACGACGAUAAAUAACUACCGACGUGGUUAGUCGUUUCAAACGACUCAAUAAAAUAAAACACCGACGUGGUUAGUUUAUACGCUGUCAUUUAUUGAAAAUCAUAAAAACAAAAUCCUGUUAAGGAGACUAACCCUGGAUUGUAAGGCAUGAGGAAAAUCUGUUCACCGUCAGUCUUCUGAAGUCGUGAUGCUACAAGCCGUGAUCUGUCAGCUAUUGUGCCAGAGCUGGCACUAACUGUAGCAGGGUCGAUAAAGCCAACCAUUGUGCACAUAUUUGCUUGUUUUAAAACAUCGUGUAAGUACCUAAAUAUAUAAAAUAAUAUAAACAAGUCAGCGCAAAAAAAACACACGACGGUUAUGUAUAACAAAACGACGUAUUAUAAGGUUUCACACGACGUACUGAAAUAGACAACGACGUUAUAAUAAAUUUAUCACGACGGUACAUACUAACGACGUGGUUAGUUAGUUAAGACGACGCAAUAAAUAAACCAACGACGUAUUAUUUUAGAAUGACAAACCUCAUAUAUACAGCAAUGACUGUAGCUCCUAUUUCCUCCAUGCCUGCAAAUUGUGUAAUAUCUUCAGGCAGGAGGAAGGUAUCGCGCUCUAGACCAAACACCUCCUUAUCAAUUGUAAAGUGCAGGGUCUUAUCUUGAGUUACGAGUGUCGUUUCCACAUAACGACAAAGGGUUUGUAAAGAAGAUGGCGCCUCCAUAUUUGAAUAAUCAACAACUUUAGUAACCUGUUUAAAGAAAUAAAAAAAUGACGUGGUAAUUCAAUAAAAACGACGGUUUAAGGAAUAAAAUGUCGUUUGAAAACAAUUUAAACGACGGUGAAAAAACCGUCGUGGUGAAUUAUUUAUUACGUCUUAGAAAACAAUUCCGCCGUCUAAGUUGUAAACAAACGACGGUUUAAAGAAAAAUAUCGACGUCUGGAAUUUUGAAAACAAAUAAAAAAGGUAAAGUUAUGUGAACAUACCUGGUCGUCAUCUUCUUUCUCCUUUUCAUCUUGUUUUUCUUCCUUAUUCUCUUCAUAUAUGACGUCGGGAAUGAUUAACUCCGUCAUCUAAAAACCACAAAGUUUUAAAAAUAACGACGUUUAAUGGCGUGUAAAACAAGUAAACUAAAUACGACGUGGUAUUGAAAUACAAACGACGGUUUAUUUUUAAAAUCGUCGUGGUAUGUAUUUCAAACGACGGUUUUAUUAAAAAUAACGACGUCUAAUGGUUUUUAAAAAAACAGAGAAUUCAAAGUUCAGAUAUGUUACCUUUUCUUCCUGAUGUUUCCCAUUUUUGGCAGUAUCAUCCUCAAAAUGCUGGGAUCUCACAUCACCUCCAGAGCAGCUUGCUUUGUCAGACAUUGGAUUUUUGGGACUUUGGCUAAUUCUGGGUUUAAGCAUGCUUGGAUCAAAAUUGGGAAUUAAUUGGGAAAGCUGACUCAGGAAAUGCUCCCUCUCAGCCUCUACCAAUUGUUUCGUUCUAGCCUCCAUUCUUAAAGCCUCUUCCCUUGCCUUAGCCUCCAUCUUUUUAGUCUCUUCUUGAAGGAGAACUCUUAAACUGUCCUUCAAACGGUCGUCAAAGCUCACUCUCUGUGGUUUGGGUAAAUUGAAAUAUUGCUUUGGUGAGAUCCCAGCACCUACUCCUCUGACUCUGCCUGGAUGCUCGGGGCCCAAAGCCAUGGUCAGCACAUCAUUGCUGCCAGAGACGGUGACUUUGCCUUCCGAGACUUGUUUUUGCAAAUCAUCCUAAAACAAAGAUAUAUAAAAAAGUAAGAACAAAAACACACGACGGUUAUUUAUAUACAAACGACGUAUUAUAUAAUUUCACACGACUCAAUAACAUAUAAAUCGACGUUAUUAUAAUUUAUCACGACGGUAGUUAUACCGACGUGGUUAGUUCUUUAAAACGACGAAAUUAAUAAACCACCAACGUCUUAUGUAACAGAGGGAUGAUUCAAUAUUCACACCUUUAACGACGUUGUUUAAAACAUUUCGACGUAGUAAUUUAAUACAGACGACGCGAAAUUGAACCACCGACAUCUUAUGCUAUAAUUACAGAAAACAGAGUUCUGAUUCCUAUUUAGACCUUUAACGACGUGUUUUAAAAAAUGUCGACGUGGUAAUAUCAUUCACACGACGCAAAAUAUAACAUAAGACGUAAUAAGAAUUAUUCACAGUUUAAUAAAAAUUUAAAACAGAGUGAGUAGGCUUACAAUUAAUUUUGCUUUCUCUGCCACCUUUGGAUCAGGGAUGUUACCAUGUUUGUCAUGUCUAGCUCUCUUCCAUAAGGUAGAUCGAUCAAUUUCUACCCCAGGCAUGGUUUCCUCUAAUUGAUCCUCCAAACCGGCAUAUCCUUUUCGAGACAAUCGAUGAUUGUACUCGAGUUUCUCCCUAAUCUGUGCAUGUUGAGAAUGCACAGACUCAAAAUCUUUGGAUAGCCUUGAAGCUACAAAGGCAUCCCAUUGUGCUUUCUCUAUGAAUUUAUAUGUUUCAGGGGGUUGGCUUAAUCUCUCCCUGUCAUUGGUGUAUGGAAGGAUAUAAUGCCUCGUUAGUGUAGACUUGAAAUCCUUCCAUUUCUUGGCAGCAGAAGCUAAGACAGAGUUCUUGCCCCCUUGACCUACUACAAAAGCAAUGUCAACUGCUUCCCAAAUCUGCUCCUUUAUAUCCUUGGGGAUUUGAGCCCAUUUCAAGUCCACAAGUGGAACUCUGGAGCGUGCCAACACACCAAUAUAGGACUGCAUCUCACUAUGAGCUUGGCCAAUUCCUUUCCCCCUUUUAUUGUACUCAACAAUUGGCCUCAGUUUCUGCAGUUUUCUCUUCACAACACGAGGCAUUGUGCUCAUACCUCGACCAGCCUUUGAAUCAUCAGAUAUUGUUGUCCCGCUGGUUGGUUCUGUAUCAGCAGAUGAUGAAGCAAACUUCAUCUUCUUCGAAGACUUCAUUAUCUUCGAAGACUUCUCUUGAGGAGGUACUUGCUCCUCACCUCCAUUUUUCUUGGAGCCAGAAUCCUUACUUUAGUCUUGUUGAGAAACCAUUUUUACAGACAAAACUGCAAGUGAAAAUAUUUCAAGAAAAGAUUAAGAACACAAACGACGGUUAUUAAUAAAAUACGACGUAUGAUAUGAUUUUAAACGACGCAAUGAAAUAAUAUCAGACGUAAUAAAUUUUUAAAACGAAGGUAAUUAAACAACGACGAAAUAAUUGACUACAAACGACGAGAUAAUUAACUAUAAACGACGGAAUAUUUAUAUAACGUCGUGGUAUUGAUGUUCACACGACGUCAGUAGUAAUAUACCGUCGUCUAUAUAAGGAUCCAAAACCCUUCUUUCUUUCUCUGUGAAUGUUUGAUUGCAGAUUUGAUUUUUCUGAACCAUGGUUUUUGUUUUCUAAUUUGAUAAAAUACAAGGCCAAGAAAGAAAGUUUUGGAAUCUUAUAUAGACGACGGUAUUUUAAUAUGACGUCGUGGUAUUAACAUUCACACGACGUAAAACAAUAAGAUACUGUCGUCUAUAUUAGAUACCAACCCUAAUUUCUUUUUCUUUAUAUUUUAUCAAAUUAGGGAAAAACAAAAACCAUUGUUCAGAAAAAUCAAACCUGCAAUUAAACAAGCAAAUAAAAAAAAGACUAAAAUUUUAAAAACAACUUUGUCAAUUUUCAGACGACGCUAGAACGACUGACGAACCGUCGUGGUCUACAUAUUUAACCACGUAAAUAAGAAGCUACCGUCGUCUUAUUUAGUUAAGGUAGUUGUCUUCAAAGUUGGAAACUUUCCCUCUUUGUCUGUAUAUUUUAUCGAACUUGGAAAGAAGUAAAAUGAUUUUGGCCAGAAAAAAGGUAAAAAGAUUUUUCAAACAAAAAACGUAUGAGCAUGCAAAACAGCAACCAAAAUAGUGAAAAUGAAAGCUUACCUUUUGUGUGCAAUGAAAGCAAGAGGAAGACGAUCGAUGUUUAAAUUCAGAGACGACGAAGAAGACGAGAGGAAGACGAUGAGAUACUCUGAAAGUGCUCUGACAAGGAAAAAAGUCUAAAAGUUUUCUCUGGGAGAUUGAAAUUUUUAAUCGGGUUUGGAAAAAGUGCAUGUGUAAGUCAGGUAGACGAAAAGUUGCUUAUAUAUAAAACCAUUUCAAAAAAAUAAUACGGCGGUUACAUAUAACUACGACGUAUAAAUUACAAAAUACGACAGUACGUUUAACUUCGGACGUGGUAAAUAAUUACGACAGUAGUGUUAUAGGUACCGUCGUAGUAAACUCAAAAUUAAAGUACAUAAGUAAUAACUCGCGUCAUGGUAGAUCAUUUAACACGUCGGUUUUAUUAAUGUACCGACGUGGAUUUAUGUAAUAUACGUCGGUAAUACCGACGUUGAUUUUACAAUUUAAACGGCGGUUUUUUUGUAAGGACCGCCGUUGGUUUUAAAAAUUUAUUCUAUAAAUUUGUUGCUUUCAUUCAUUUUCGGUUUACAUUUAGGGUUCCAAGUUCUUCCUCUCUCAGAGACACUAUCUCUCACAUCUCAAAGACAGUAAUUUGGAUGUCUUUCUCAAAGAGAAAUUGAGCUUACUCGCAUCAAAUCUAUGUCCACAAGAAGAAGCUUGUCAACUAGCCUUCUCACUUCCUUGAUCAAGCCUGAUAGGACACUUAGUGCUUCUGAAUACUCCUUGCUUUCCAUCAAAAGAGAUGCAAGCCUGGCCUCCACUCGCUGUCGAAGGAAAGUUCGCUUCUCAGGGAAAUCUGAAGAUCAGAUGUGCCUGAUCCUCUGCUUGAUUUUCUUGGCUAAGAAGAUCCGUCAGAUUUGUGAUAGCCUCUUCCUUUAUCCGUAGAGCUUCAGAAGAAGAAGAUGGGUUUCAAGAAUGCGAUAAAGAAUAGAAAUGGCUUCAGAUGGCCUCUAAAGCAUGAGCAAUCGAAUCAGUGCUUUGAACUAUACUUUGAACUAUACAAGUCAAUGCUUUGAACUAUACAAGUCCUGCAGAAAGAUAAAGGACCAAACUAUUAAAGAAACCCCAAACUAACACGACGCAAUAUUUGUUUUGCGACGUGGAAUCUUUUCAUUUAACGUCGUUAGGUUUAAUAUAACCGACGUGGAUUUGAAUUUUUAAAUUAUGAAUAGCAUUUUUUUUCCCGUGACCUUUCAGUUUAUUUUUCAAUUACAGUGCGUUAUAAAUAGAGUUUUUUUUCCGGAGGAAAUUUAAAAUGAAGGAAAUUAAUGUUCUGGAAUAUGUAAAAUUUCUUUUUUGGAUGACAGAUUUAAAUAAAAUAAGAAUAUAAAAACAACGACUGUUUUUGUAUUACUGUCGUCGUUUUUCGUCGUCUUAAGUAAGACUAAGACAACGUAAUAUAUUUGUUGAGCGACGUUGAUUUGUGUUUUAAACGUCCUUAGGUAUAAUAUAACCGUCGUUGAAAAUUGUCUCUCUGAUUGCAAAUUUGCAACGACGUUAGGUAUAAUAUUUGUAGAUACACAAACGCACACACAUCAUCAACUUCCAAAAAAUUGUCUCUCUGAUUGCAAAUCUGUGUCAUCUGUUAAGAUUAUGAUGUGGAACAAAGUUCCAUUUGGUAAGAUUUCGUAACCCUUGGGAUCUCAGAAAAAUCUGAUUAUGUCGGCGAUUUUCUAUAUAAACCGUCGUGGUUAUUUCAAUUCUUGUCAUUAAGUAGAUCUACCGACGUAGGAUAAGAAAAUCAAAGAAAAAAAUUGUUAACAAAAAUUCUUAUUAAGACGACGGUUUAAAUUAAAGGUAAGACGUAUAAAAUGAAUAAAUACGACGUUAAAUUUUAUAGUACGAUUUAAAGAUAACGUCGUAGAACUAUACCAGAAUGACGUCGAUAUAUUUAUAUUUUUCGUCGUUGUACAUUAAUUUAAUACGGCGAUAUUUUGUAUUUUAAAGUCGUGGAUUUGUUUGUAAUUAUACAGCGUCUUAUACGAAAACCUCGUCGUGUUAUUUUAUGAGUAAAAACGGCGGCUUUUAUUGAAAUCGUCGUCUUUACUUUCUACGUCGGUUGAUUCAUAACUUCUGUCGUUCUUUGUUGGCUUUGAUUUUACACUGCGGAAAUCUGUUUCAAAUAGACGUCGGUUGUUUAAUUAAGUACGUCGUUGUUUUUGAACAGCCAUUUGAAUCUCCAUUUUUUAGUUGUCUAAGGUGGUAUUACACGACGGUGUUUUUAGAACCGUCGUCUUUUUAAAAACCACGACGGUUUUCACUGAGACCGUCGUUGUUUUCUGGUCGUCUUUUUCACUUUUUGUAGUAGUGAAUGGAAUAGAAUGAUGGAAGUUAUUUUUUUUUUUUCCUACGUCUAAAGUAUACUUUAUAUAUAUAUAUAUAUAUUUAUAUUUAUUAUGGAAGUUAUAACCGUUUAAUUUUCAGUUUUUAUUUUCUAUUUAUUGUUUUAAUUUUUAUAGUUUAAUGUGUAUGGAGAUUUCAAGUAUUGGAUGUUUAUAAAGGGUCACUCCUCCUUCACAUCUGAAACAAACCACCAUCUCAUUUCUGUAUUUUCAUACUUUCAUAUAUUUUCUACUUUCCAGAUUAUUAUUUUUGGGCAACGGUUCUGUGACUUGGAGAUUUCUAUCCGAUUAUUAACAUGCUCAUAGCGGACCUUGAGCUUGCGUAUUGAGGAUAGUAUCUUGGAGCCUUGUAGACCUUUAUUACCUGCAUGUAGGGAGGCUAUAAAUGCUUUAAGUCAGCGUCUUUGACGUGCUUUUGCUUUCUUUUUUUUACUUAUUUCUUCGUUACUUUAUUUUUACUUUACUUUUAAAUCUUUAUUUUAUGUAUUAUUUAUAUUUAAAAAUUUUGAAUAAGAGUUUUACAGAAAAGGAAAAACACAAUUUCAAAUAACACAAAUUUCUCGUUUUUUGUUCUUAAAAAAGAAGAAGCAUUGAUUGGGGAGUUAUGGUAAACUCAGUUUCAAUGGUUGCGAUGAGAGGCGGUGGCGGCGAGGAGAGGACGAAGGCUUUGCUGCCGACGGGGUGGUGUGGGUGGGUGGAGACCUCGGCUGGCUGCUUGGUCCUGGGUUCUCCUUUAAUUCUCUGUUUUCUUUUUUCAUAUUUUUCUUUUUCUCUUAGAGUUAUUGAUGUUAAGUGAAUGGACAGAUGCCAAGAGAAGAUGUGAACCCAAUUAUAUACAGCUGAUUACAUAAAGUAACAAAUUAAUUAAUACUUGAGUGGAGGACAGGCUCGAGUGGAAGAAUUGAUUAAGGCUUGAGUGGAAGACAAACUUCAGUGGAGGAAAGUACAGAUAAGGAAAGCAUGCCACGUUUAACGGCUUUAUCUCAACAAAUUAGGAAUGCUGGUUUUGUUUCCUCGGUGGUUGAAAGGUGGUGCCUUGGCUCGGACAUCUCCCUAGUAAUUAAUCGAAGGUGGAAUCUUACAAGACAUUCAGCUGCUCAUUAGCUGAAUAUCUCGCUCUCUUUAAAGAGAUCGAAGCAAACUGCAAUUUGCAAUUUGUGUGAUUCAAGCAUGAAUAUCUGACAUAGUAACUAUACCAUUUGUUGGUUUGAUGAGAAAAGUUUGGUUAGCGAGGAUGAAACCAUAAAGUUCCCCAAAACACACAAAGAGCACGGACAAUUGCUAAGUUUAUCUUUGAGUUCACGCAUAUUUGCACAAAUGAGAUUACUCCAAGUAUGACUAUACCAUUUGUUGGUUUGAUGUGAAAAAUAUGGGCAACGAGGGUAAAACUAUACAAACACACACAAAGAAAGUGGACAAUUACUAAGUUUAUCUUUGCGUUAUUCAUCCGACCUAACUGUAAAAUAAAAAAGAUGAAAAUAUAUAAUGUUCACUACUUAGAUCUAUGAGCACUAAAGUCCUCCUUUUGGAAUUGCACAAAACGUCACUUUUGGUCUUUGACAAAUUUUUAAAAUAAAUGAAUUUUUUACUUAUUUGUGGACUGAAAUGCCUCAAAAAAAAUAAUGAUAAUUUGAAGAAUUUGAUAGAAAUUAAAAAAUAUCCUCAAAUUACUUGGAAUUGAAGACCACAUAGGCAAAAACACCACUUUGGACAAAGGCUGGUGAUAAUAGUCGAUAUCAUCUUUUGUCGGUCCGACCUAAAAAGAAGAAAAAGUUGAAAGCAUCUUGUUACCAUUUUUGCCAAUGUGGGUCCAGACAAUUUGAAGAAGUCCACCGACAAUUUCUCAAAAGCUAUUGUGUGAGUGUUUUGAAGCUAAACCAAUAUUAUUUUGCACAUACGACCCCACAUCCCCAUGUGAGGCUACAGAAGUGUUUCCAAAACGAAACAUGAUAUUUCAAAACAAAGCUAUGUAUAGAAUAGAGUCAUUUGUAUUUGCUUUCACAAUAACAUUUUAUUUGUGAAAGCAUUUUAUAUUUUUACAUUAUGAUGUUCUAACAAAUAAAUUGACUAUAUUUGGCCAACAGGGUUUAACCGAGUAAAAAAGUCCUUAUUUAUAAACUACUGGUUUCAUAUUUGAACUCUAUGACAUUCUCUUUACCCUUAAAGUUUAGACUAUCGCAUGUAUUAUAAAUAAAAAAAAACAAUUGGCUUAAUUUGAUAUAUUUCAUUUUAUGCUGGGUGCCGUUAUUAAGUUUUAUCCUUGUUUCUUGUUGAAAAAAAAUUGAUAAAAAAUAAGAAUUCCUAUAGCUAGCAACUUCUCCACCUUCCCUUCUUCGCAACUAGGGAUGCCAUUGCAAGGUCACCAUCUCAGAUUAAGUCCUCCUUUUAAAAUUGUGUUGUUAUUCAAAAUUGGAAUAUGCUGGUCAUUCUUGAUAUAAUCUGUUCCACAAAAAGAAAAAGAAAAAAGUUGAUAGCAUCUUUUACCACUUUGGCCACUUUUGAAGAUAUUCACCGACAAUUUCUCAAAAGCUAUUAAGCUGUACGUCCACAAUAUUAUUGCAUCCAACUUUGCAUAUACGACCCCAUCCCCAUGUGAGGCUACAAUAUUGUUAAAAAAAUAUGCUAACAUUGUCAUUCAGUAUGCUAACAUUGUCACUAUGUUUGCGAAUUGCAUAUUAUCUAGAACAUAAAGGCUUUGGUGUUUUGUAGAUCCUCAGGGAGCCAAACCCGUCUUUAUAAAAAUGGUCCUUAUGAUACUACUUUAACAACAAUAAAGUAUAAUAAACUAGGCCUUUGUAGUCACUGAACGAAUGUUUUGUCAUAUAUAUGACUAUUUAAAUGUAAUUACGGGAUUAAAACAUUAUAAUAAAUUGGAGUGAACCAUAACAUUAUAUAUGAUCCAAUCCUUUGCAUAUAUUUUUGUUCAAGACUUUGUUUUAGAAUGCUCUAUUACUAAUUUGGUACAGGUCUCUAAAAUCUAUGCCUUUAUGAGGCAACGUCUUUAUUUCUUUGGUUAUUCCAGUUUAGAAUAUUUGCACAAAUGAGAUGACUCCCAGCAUAAAGUCACAUUCAACCAAAAAGCAUGAAGUCACACACAAAAAGAAUACGGACAAUUGCUAAGUUUAUCUUGUAUCCUUAUUUUAUUGAUCCAACCCAAUUGAAAAAUUAAAAAGAUGAUAUAAUAUACUGUUCACUGCUUACAUCCAUGAGUAAAGUCCUCCAUUUGAAAUUGCGUGAUGAUAUAAAAUUGGAAUGAAAAAAGAAAAUCCUACAGCUAAAUUUGAUAUAUUUCCUUUUCAUUUUAUGCUGGGUGUUAAGUUUUCUUAUUUCUUGUUGAAAAGAAAAAUGAAAAGAAAUAAAUAAAUUCCACAGCUAGCCACUUAUCCACCUUCCCUUCUUCCCAUGUAGUGACAACAAGGGAGGCCUUCAAUCCAAAAUAAAGACAAGGGAUGCCAGAUCAGCAUCUCAGAUAAGUAUCCCAACCAAAACCAAUCAAAUAAUGACAUAUGUAUCUCUUUUUGUGUUUUGUUCUAUUUCUCUUUGAAUUAACUGCAUAGUUUCAUAAGCGUGUCCUCCUUUUGAAAUUGUGUAUUAUUCAAAAUUGGAAUUUGCUGAUCAUACUUGAUAUCAGCUAAAAAAGUUUCCAACAUCUUGUACCAUUUUUUUCCAGUGUGGGUCAUAACUUGAAGAAGCCCACCGACAAUUUCUCAAAAGCUAUUACCAUCCAACUUUGAAAAAUAAAAGUUUUCAAAAGUUACCCCAAACAACAGUCCUUGAAAGAGAGAGUUUUCCAAGGCUAAAGAUUACAAGGAUGUUAUUUACAGUCUCGACAACGACAAGCUUCAUAUUUGUUUACAAACCUGUAUUUUCAAGUUGUGCUAGCCUAGCUACUUGCAAAAAAUAUCCAGUUGGCACAUGCAUUAACGUGUGACAAGAAGUUAGUUAUAUUUGUAAAGUAAAAGAACGAAGUACAUAGCAUGUAAGUUGAUGCUAAAUAUUUGAUCAACAGAGUUAAACAUAAAACCACUGACAAUAUAACGUUGUUCACCAAAAAUUGCAUUUCGUUGAGGGUCAGUAGUGUAGGUUUCAAGAUACGAUUUAUUUUGUUAAAGAAUAUUCUGAUAUUCUAACAAUAAAAUUGGCUCAAUUUGAUAUGUUUCUCUCUCUUUUUUUGUUUCUGUUUUCCCUUUCAUUUGAUGCUUUGUUGUGCUAUUGCUAAGUUUAUCUUAGAGACCAGGGAUGCUUAGCAAGUUUCUUCACCUGCCCUUCUUCCCAUGUACUAACUAGGGAUACCAUGUCAGAAUCUUAGAUAAGAAUCCCAUGCUUUGUUGUGCUAUUGCUAAGUUUAUCUUAGAGACCAGGGAUGCUUAGCAAGUUUCUUCACCUGCCCUUCUUCCCAUGUACUAACUAGGGAUACCAUGUCAGAAUCUUAGAUAAGAAUCCCAACCCAAUCAAACUAUGACAUCUGUAAGUAUUCAAAAUUGGAAUUUGCAUUGUGAUAGUUGAGUGGAAGAAUCGAUUAAGGCUUGAGUGGAAGACAAACUUCAGUGGAGGAAAGUAAUUAAUUAGACCAUUAUUUGUUGGUUUGAUGAGAAAAGUUUGCUGGUGAUAGUCCAUAAUCUUUGUCCGACCAGAAAAUAAGAAAAGUUGUCUUGUACCAUUUCUGCCAGUGUGGGUCCCACCCACCCCAUGCGAGUAAUUUGAAGAAGUCCACCGACAAUUUCCCAAAAGCUUUGGCGUCCAACUUUGCCGACCCCAUCCCCAUGUGAGGCCAUAGAAAAGUUUUCAGCCACAAUCAAAUAAGGAACAGUCCUUGAAAAGAGAGGGUUUUCCAAGGCCAAGAUUACAAGUUCAUGUUAUUUACAGUCUCAAAAAGCUUCCAUACUUGUUUACAAACCUGUAUUUUCAAGUUGUGCUAGCCUAGCUAUUUGCAAAUCUUGGAAUAUUUUACUUCAUCCAAAUCCCUUGAAGUCUGCAGAGAAGAUAAAAGACAUGGCUUUGAUUGGAGAGGCUCUUAUCUCUGCUUCCGUCCAGGUGUUGUGCGACAGAAUUACUUCACCCGAGUUCGUUGACUUAUUUCGGCACAAGAAACUCGAUGAGCCACUCCUCAGGAAGCUGAGGACGACACUGUUGGCCUUGAACUUGGUGCUCAAUGAUGCAGAGGAGAAGCAACUUGUGAACCGAGAUGUGAAAAAGUGGCUUGACGAGCUCAAACAUGCUGUCUUUGAUGCGGAGGACUUACUGGAUGAGAUUGACACUGAAGCUUUGAGAUGCAAGCUGGAAGAAGGUGAAGAUCAAACUCACAAAUUUACCAAUAAGGUGCGGAACUUGCUCUUUUCUUCUCGUAGUCAUUUUUAUCAGAGCAUGAAUGAUAAGAUAAAAGAGUUACUAGCAAGGUUAGAAAACUUUGUACAACUGAAAAGUGCUCUUGGUCUGGGAGAAGUUGCUGGGAGGAAGGUUUCGCAAAGAACUCAAACAACCUCCUUGGUUCUUGAACCUUAUGUAUAUGGUAGAGAUGAAGUCAAAGAAAAGUUAUCAAAAGUUUUGCUAUCUGAUGAAGCAGGCAAGGAUCCUGUGUCUUUCCUCACCAUUGUUGGAAUGGGUGGGGUUGGCAAGACAACCCUUGCUCGAAUGCUUUACAAUGACGAUAAGGUGAAAGGGCAUUUUAAACUUAAAGCUUGGGCUUGUGUUUCAGACUACGAUGAUUAUAUUAAAAUUACUAAAACUCUCCUUGAGGCAGUCACUUCAAAGCCUUGUAACACGGCAAAUCUGAAUUUGCUUCAAGAAGAUCUAAGAGAGCAAUUGAAGGGAAGGAAAUUUUUAUUUGUGUUGGAUGACCUAUGGAAUGAGAAUAAUGAGGAUUUGAACUACCUUAGAGCUCUUUUUAUUACUUUAGGAACAAUGGGAAGUAAAGUCAUUGUAACAACACGGAGCAAAAAUGCAGCAUCUGUCAUGCAAAAUGUUCAUAUUCAAUACUUAGAACCAUUGUCGCAGGAGGACUGCUGGUUAUUACUUGCAAAACAUGCAUUUGGAAAUGUAAAGUGUAGUGCACAUUCAAACUUGGAAGAUAUUGGAAACCAAAUUGCACGCAAGUGCAAAGGGUUGCCUUUAGCUGCACAAACACUUGGGAGUUUGUUACGUUGCAAUAUGAAUUUCGAGUACUGGAAUAGAAUACUAAAUGAUAGUUUUUGGGACCACCCCUAUGAUAAAACUAACAUUCUUCCGGCUCUAGGGUUGAGUUACCAUUAUCUUCCUACUCAGUUGAAACGAUGCUUUGCUUAUUGUUCAAUUUUUCCAAAGGAUUAUGAGUUUGAAAAGGAAGAUAUAGUUCAAUUAUGGAUUGCAGAAGGUAUAAUUCCACAAGCUGAGAAUGGAAAUAGGAUGGAAGCAUUGGCUAGAAUAUACUUUGAUGAGCUGUUAUCACGAUCGUUGUUUCAAAAGUCAAGUAAAUUCAGCUUCAUUAUGCAUGAUCUCAUUAAUGACUUGGCUAUGUUCAUGUCUCAGGGGUUUUGCCUUAGGCUCGAAUAUGGGGUAUCCCAUGAAGUUAAAAGAGCUCGUCAUUUGUCAUAUGCUAGGGGAGCAUUUGAUGCUGCUCCAAGAUUUGAACCAUUAUAUGAGGCUAAAUGUUUGCGGACCUUCCUACCUACCUCUUUAAAUCCAUAUAGAUUUUAUGAAAGAUUUUUUGUAAGUAAAAAAGUUCUACAAGAUUUGUUGCCAUCACUAAGAUGUUUACGGGUGUUAUCAUUGUCACGUUAUCAAAAUGUUACUGUGUUACCUGAUUCUAUUGCAAACCUCAUUCACUUGCACUACUUGGAUCUUUCCCAUACCGCAAUUAAAAGGUUACCUGGGGUACUUUGCAAUCUCUUCAACUUGCAGACAUUACUAUUGUCAAAUUGUUCCUCACUCCAUGAAUUGCCUGCAGACAUUAGAAAAUUGAUUAAUUUACAGAAAUUGACAUUGGGCGGUUGUAGUUCUCUUAAUAAAUUGCCUGCAGGCAUGAAGGAGUUGACUAAUUUGCAUCAUCUUGAUGUCAGUGGAACUGAAAUAGUAGAGAUGCCGGUGCAAAUGGGUAGACUGAAAAAUUUGAGAACAUUGACUGCAUUUGUUGUGGGCAAAUCUACUGGGUCAGGCAUAAGAGAACUGAGCGAGUUCCCGCAACUUCAAGGAAAACUAUCAAUUUUGAAGCUACAAAAUGUAGUUGAUGCGAGGGAUGCACUGCACGCCAAUAUGAAGCUCAAGACAGAUCUCAAGGAGUUAGAGUUUUCAUGGGGUGCGCAGGAUGCUGAUGAUUCCCAAAAGGAGAAAGAUGUACUUGACAAGCUCCAGCCUUGCGUGAAUUUGGAGAAAUUAACCAUUGGAUUCUAUGGUGGAACCAAUUUUCCGAAUUGGUUAGGAGACUCGUCUUUUUCUAACAUACAAGUCAUGCAUCUCAGUGACUGUAGUUAUUGUUGGUCGCUCCCACCAGUUGGACGGCUGUCGGCACUCAAAGAGCUCUGUAUAAAAAGAAUGAAGUCUUUGAGGACGAUUGGCGUUGAAUUCUAUGGCAGAGAUGGAGCUUAUCUGACUCAGCCAUUUCGAUCUCUGGAGAAGCUAGAGUUUAUAGAGAUGCCGGAGUGGGAGGAAUGGGUACCAAGUGGAAGUGCAAGUGGUAGUGAAUAUGGUCCAGACUUUCCUCAUCUCCAGGAGCUGAUUCUAAACGAGUGUCCGAAGCUAAGAGGAAGUUUGCCUUGUGAGUUGCCUUGCUUGAAGAAGCUUACGGUGUAUGGGUGUAAGGUUUUACAUGAUGGAAGGGCCGCUACCGCAACUACCAAUAGUCUUAACUAUAAAUCUCUGGAAGAAUUGGAUAUAAGGGGUGGAUGCCAAACUCUGUUAUCAUUAUUAGAGACAAAGCUCCUGUCCCGACUUAAGAUUGAAAAUGUUGACGUACAGUGCUUGCCCAACUGCAAUCGUCUUCAACGUUUGACUCUUUUGAAUUGUCCAACGCUGUCGUCAUUCCCUAAAGAUGGCCUACCCACUACAUUGACAUCACUUACUAUACUCAAUUGUAGGAGAUUAGAAUUCCUACCUCAUGAGAUGUUGGCCAAAUUAACAUCGCUUGACUAUUUGGGCAUACAAAGUAGCUGUGAUUCAAUGAGGUCCUUACCGUUGGGCAUUUUUCCCAAAUUGACGACGCUUCAAAUUCUUGGUUGUGAGAAUCUGGAAUCUUUUUCCUUGAUUGAAGAAGAAGGAGCUGUUGAGAAUCUCAGCCAUCUCAAUUCCUUGCAAGUCAUUAACUGUCCAAAAAUGGUGUGUUUUCACGAGGGAGAAUUGCCCUUUCCCAACCUGAGUCACUUUGUAGUCAUUGACUGCGAGAAUUUGAAGUCAUUGCCCGAACGCCUUCACACCCUCACUGCCCUUCGAUCUUUGAAUAUAUGGAAUCUUCCGAAUCUGGAGUCAUUUGCAGAAGAUGGGGGUUUGCCUCCCAACCUCCGAUCUUUUAUCAUUAGGAAUUGUAAGAGACUGAGGGCACUUGACUCAGUGGGUUUGCAAGCACUUGUCUACCUUCAGAUCGAUGGAAGUGACCAUGUCUUGGAGACGUUGCUGCUCCCUACCACUCUUCACACUCUCUGCAUCUCUGAUCUAUCAACUCUGAAAUCUUUGGACGGAAAGGGUCUUGGACACCUCACUUCUCUUCAAACUCUAAAAAUUUACAGCUGUCCAAGUCUUCAAUGCCUGCCAGAAGAGGGUUUGCCGCCAUCUCUUUCUCAUCUGAGUAUCCGCUGUUGUCCUACCCUGGAGGAAAGGUAUAAGAAUAAAACGGGACAAGAUUGGGCAAAGAUAUCUCACAUUCCUUGCAUCGAGAUAGGGGAAGAAGUGAUCAUAUAAUAUGAGCUAUUCCAUAUUUCACGCUCAACCCUCAACUCUCAAAUCAAAGUCAGGUGAGGUAUGUGCCUUCUCUUACUUUAAAAAACUGCUUCUCUUCUUCUAAUUGAAUACAAAAACCAAAACACAUAUUCUCUUUCUCUUCCAAAAACCCAAAUACAUGUUGGACAUAGCCCAACGCUGUACUUUCAUAGGUACUGCAUGUAUAUUAUCUUAGUAUCAACAGGUGGUCUUAUGUGGACGAGAGAGAACAUUGAGGAAUUACAAAAUCUUCUUAGUGAAUUAAGCUUGCUUCAGCUCUGUUUGUCAUCCCUCUCAUUUUCUUUGUUAAGCCUUGGUUUUUUAUUAGGAGAUGAAUGCUUUUAUAUAUUGAUGUCGUAGUCAGUCUUCAACCACACUCCGUUUUUAGAAUUCGUUUAUGUUACUAGUGGAGUGCUGCUGUAUUUUAUAUUUCGUUCCUGUAAUGUUUGAUGUUUAGUUUGAGUAGUCUAGCUUAUCCAGUAGAUAACUCGUCCCCUGUUUUGUAAUGUUUUUGUUUCCUCUAAUGAAAGCAGGUUUUACUUAUCUUAAACUUUUAUUUUUAUUUUUAAAUAUCAGUAAUAACUGGGAAAGCUUGCAUCUCCUUAAAUUGCUCAUUCUUACAUCUUUUAUAGUUUGUCGAUCUUGGGCAAGUGGAGAGAGAGGCGUCAAGUGAUACACAACAACCAUUUUCUGUGAGCUAAUUUGAUAAUGAUAAAUGGUAUGCUUUCUUGUCUUAAGCUGUGUGUUCUGCAAUUAUUUAAAACAAAGAGUGCCGCGCUUCAAGUUCGAGGAAAACAGGUAUUUUAGGUUAGCUGUAUAAUUCGUGGUAAAUGCCUUUUUCUAAGGUUCAUUUAGACUCCUAUUACGAUUAAUUUGUUGUUUCUAAUUUGGACUUGUAGGAACAGACCAAAUAUGUUCACACGUGGCAUCGCUCAAGUCAUCAUCAUUUCCGACAGAAAAUCAGCCUUCAAGUGUCUGCUGAGUCAAUGAACCUUUCUAGAUAUAUCAAGUGCAAUGGAAAUUCAUGAGUUACAUAGAGAUUUGUAAACAUUUUGAAGAUUGCAACACCUGCAAGUGAGAUAGGUGGUGACGAAAUCAGAGCUGAUCUUGAAGCCUCUGAUGCCCCGGUUGUUGCAAGUUGCACCUGAGAACAUGUUUUUUUGGGGUAAAAAACUGGCAACAUGUUCGGAGCUGGCAAUUCAGUCAGUGAUGAAGUUGAGAAGCAAAGCUCCAGUAAGGAAAUUGGUCGAGGUCGCCACAGGGAU